GAAGGAACUUGCAUAAUCUUUUAUUGGGAAUCUGCCUGGAGUGUUUUCAAGCUCAUGUUUAAUAUAAGAACUGCGCAAGGGAAACAUGUCUUUGCUAUGUAUUUCCAACAAGGCUUCUUCGAAACUCAUCUGAAAGAAAUUGAGGUCAAGAAAUAUGUCCCUUAGCAAGCAAGCAUAUGUAUAAGAAUGCAAAGCGAUACACCAACAGAAAUGGAGAGCAAUGUGGGUUCCUUAGUUGUGCAUACUGAGGUACUAACUUUUCCUUUAGCAACCCGCUUCCAAAUCUCAAAAUAGAGACCAUCUAAUCUCUUGUAAGAAGAAUCAGACCUAAUGCUACAGAUAUACUCCUGCAUUAAAGAAUAGAAUGUCAAAUUCCAAUAUAUCAAACACUUCUCAACAACAAAAUUAACAAGUAAGCAAGGUGGUAUUACCGGGAAACCGUAGGAAACUAAAAAUGGGGAAACAUCGGGAAAGCCUGCUGCAACCUCCAGUGCUUGCAUGUAAGCCAGACCUCUAACUCUUUCCCACUGAACAACAAAAAAGUUCCCAUGCACGAUGUGUCACUACAACAUCAAUUUACAUUGCACAACAGUUUAUUAAGCACUAAAGGCUUUUUGGGAAUGCUUACCUGAAUUGUGCUGUCUCCCAGAUAAUCUUCAACCCACUGUCAUAUGAAAAGAAGGCUAUUAGACCAAAGAUAAUGUGACCAGUAGUUUACACUUCGAUCGAAUCAAUCAUACCUUGGUCCGGUUCGCUACCUCUUCAAAGUACUGUACAUAUGCUUGGUCUUGUUCGUAAGUGUGAAUAAUUUUGUGGUAGAAAUCCCAAUCUAAAUAUCCAGGCUGCACAAAAGAAUAUGUUGUCUAUUAAAAGCAAAGUAACAUCUACUAUGUACAAGAAUAUUUCAAGUGCGGAAAUAUGUGCGCUAGCUGACUGUCUCAGAAUGCAAACUUGAAAAUGUGGAUUUCCAAAAGAAGCCUAAUAUGAUUUGAACCAGCAAGCUAGAAUUUGUUGAUACUAUGACAAAACCAUGCAGUCAUAUGAAAAUCCUAUUGUGUGGGUCUUAAGUACCAAAGGACAGUGCAUUGUCCAUAAUUAUAAAAAGAUAACAGUCAUAGCCAUAAAACCAAGACAGCUAAACUCAGCUCCCUCACCAGAUCACUAGAUGUAAUAAAAAUAGAGCAGUGCAUGCCUACGUAAGAUAAGAAUUUCAUGUGCACCUUUUCUGCUAUCGAUUAAUCAUCCACAGUCGAAGUGGUGUGGAGUGAAAUGCAAGGAACUUAUAUUCUAUUGGUUUUCUUAACUAAAAGUUGUAUGUAUCAUGGCCAUCCCCCAAUGGAUAGUUGCAAAAAUACAAUAGUUUUUUUUGCUUCCUUCAAGAAAAGCAAAGACUGCCAAGUUGAUUAUGAUCGUUGGCAAGUGGCAGAUGGAUCCUCGCAACAAACUCAACACAAAAUUUACUGCUGUUUCACUGGUCCAGCAAGUUAUAGUCAGACUGUCAUUAGUAUUUUUAAUACGCUUGAGAACAUUAAUUACAACAAAACAAUAAUGUUAAUCACACAUGUUGCAGACCUUGUUGAUGCCCAGAACAACAAAUUCAAAAUAAAAACAUAGUAUUAGCUUCAACAAAACUAAAUGUUUGCAGCAUAUUAUAGAAGGUUGUAGCAGAUAAUUAAGCUAAGCUUACUCUUCCAACAUUUUCUUGAAUUAAGCUAUUAAGGAAUACAAAAGGCUUCAAAACCAAUCAAAGUAACAUUUAACGCGGAUGGGUAUAGCAACAUGUACUUAGUGAUAACAAGAAUGAGAAUUAGAAUUAAGCUAAGUGGCAUGGAGAAUUCAGGUGUUCAUACUUACAGCGCGAAGCACUAGCCGCUGGUAGUUAUCAUACUGAGCGUUCCUGCAGCGCUCAAGAUCGAAGUACCAUUCAAGGCUGUCCUCAUAGUACUCGAAAAAACUGUUAUUAUAAAGUUUGGACGGAGGGUAAUGCAGUUUCAGAUUCACAUCAUCCAGUUCAGUCAGCUUCCUAUCCACUGUUAACUGCAGAAGACAAUCAUAAAGUAAUUAAAAACGGAUGCAAAGCAGAUGCAGAAAACUAGAGUACAAGGUACCAGACAACAUCGUUUAGAUACGCACAAAGAGUAAAUUGCUAAGUCUUCUAUUCAUGUGACUUUUAAAGAUACCUCAUAAGCUCUGAUGCGGUACAAGGCUAACUGCUCGUACAACUCCCUGAGCUGCUCUGGCUCGUAUUCAGGACCAUAACCACAAAACUCAGGAUCAACAAAUUUUAGGCUUAGGCGUUUGCUUAAACACAAAAUCUUUUCCUGGAUGGUUUCAUCAUCCAUGUCGAGGAGGGCCUGCACAUCUCCUCUUGCACUCCCUUGUUCUUGUUUGUGCUCUUCAAUGGCAUGGACACCAAUCUUGCCUGAAUGCUGUUCAUCUUCAACUGCAGAACAAGGUUUUUUGUCAGACUGUCCAUCUUCAUGUUCAUCAUGUGCAAUCUUGCCACGUGCCCUAGAACAAGUUGAUUUCGGCUUCUCAUGUUCAUCAUGUGCAAUCUUGCCACGUGCCCUAGAACAAGUUGAUUUCGGCUUCUUGUCCAUCUUAAGAAGCAAGCUUGUUUCCUCCUCAUUAAAUGGGGCUUCUUCUUGUGCAACUCCUGACCGGCUGCUGCUGCUGGUGGAAUCAUCAUGUAGCCAGCUUUCUACCUCAGCCUUCCUUAAGGAUGCUGGCACAAUACCUUCUCCAGAUCUAUGAGGAUAGGUGGGUUCUCCUGACCGAGAAGAGGCGGCGGGAGCCGCGGGUCCAGAAGAUUUGCGGUUCUUGGAGCGCCGCCGCCUCUUCAUCUUCGCGCCGUAGGACGGUUGAAAUCAAAGCAGCAAAAGAAUCGAAACCCUAACAAAAUACAAAUCACUCGUCGAGGUUAGGGUUUCGGGCUUUCCUGCAGUUGGGGACUCGGCGAUUCGGCGGAGACGGAUGGAUUGGAGUUGGAGACUCUCCUUGGCGACGGCGAAUAGGCAGCGGAGGGGAUCGCGUUGCCAUCGCGUGGGGUUUCCUAUUUCAGGCGGAUGGAUGCGAGACGUGGAUUCGGAGGAGAAGAGAUGCGAAUAUGCAAUGAGACGAAGGAUUCGGAAGGCUCUGGAGUCCCGACGCGUUCAUGGGCCUGGCGGACGCGCGGAGAGGCGAUCGGGGCCUGGUGGACGCGUUCAUGAGCCUCAGCCAGGCUCUCUUCUCUUCCCUUCUCGGUUGGCCCAGUACUUCGCCCGCCAGCCCUGCUACCGCCCGCACGUCACCUCCGCCUCCUACGUGCCACCAAAAUUUUCUCAACAAACAAUUUCAACAAUUUAAAUUUACUAUUUCAACAAUUUAAUUACACUAUAUUUCAACAAUUUAUAUAAAAUGUUGAACUAGUUUUUCUAAAAUGUCCAACUAGCUUGGAUGAAAUGUUGAAUCAUGUAUUUGCAAAUGUUGAAUGCAUAUAAAAAUGCAUUUCACCAUUUGAAAUGGAACGUUGAAUAGAAUUUGAAAAGGUGUGUCAGUGAAAAGAGCUUGGAAACACGGAAAAGCCAGCACGCGUGAGAACGGUGAAAUCGAAUAGAACAAUAAUCUACCGCGCGCGGAUGUUAGUUGGACUUUAAUGGACUUUUAAAUUUAGACUGCUUAUAUGACUUUCAGAAGUUAUAUAGCAGUUAUAUAGCGUUGUGAUUACGAAGACAAAACUACUCGAGCCGAGCGACGGCAAUCCAUGGUCGUAAAUAUUCCUAUCACAAAUCUGGAAAGAGCUUUUGAUACAGUACAGGCUUAAGAGCACAAUACUCCACUUGUGGCAAUCGCCUCAAUCAAUCUUUUAACAACGUUGAUGCCUCAAGACAUGCGCAACGAAGUCACAGCUCAGCUCGUGCAGCGUGGCAACGGACUAAUCACACAACUCGCGGAGCAAAGCCUACAAACUACUUGACAAAGAAUCACCAAUUCCUUCUAUUCCUCACAUCACAGCUCACCAAGAAGGCAGCAGAGGAGCUGCAGCCAACAGCGACGUUCCAAGAAACGAUAAUGAAGUCGCCAACCAGCCCCGGCAGCACAGCCAAGGCCCAAGCAAACACAAGGCCCCAGCACGCUAUAAGGAUGUUGAAGAGGCCAGCUGCACCAACUCGGUAAAAAGUAUUCGCCCUACUCGGAAGAAUCACGAAGUGUCAAACUUUAGUGAUCUGCGAGAAAUCCUCAACAGUCGGUGCGAACGAGAAGUAGACAACUACAACCACUUUCCUGCUUUCACAAAUCGGGUAAUGAAGACAAAACUACCCGAGAAGUUUAAGCCGACAGGAAUCACCAAGUAUGAUGGCAAACAAGACCCAAUUCAAUAGCUACGAUGCUACUCGCUAGCAGUCCAAGCAGCCGGGGGCAAUAACGACACCAAAGUCAUCCACUUCCCGGUAUGCAUGGAACCCGCACCACUGACCUGGCUUGAGUCACUGAAACCCAAAUCAAUUGACUCUUGGGAAGAUUUGACAAAGGCUUUCACCAACAAUUUCGCCGACUCCAUGGCUAGACCAGGCAACAAAAUCGACUUGAGCCAAAUUAAGAAAAAAGAGGCGAGACCUUACGCGACUACUUGCGUCGAUUCUUCGAAAAAAAGGCAACAAUAGUUGAAAUCUCAGAAACCGGCGUCAUCGAGUGCUUCCAGAACGGACUCUACGAUCGACGAACAUACCAAGACUUUGGUCGACGCCGACCAGCUAAUGUCAAAGACCUUAAGGUUAUGGUACAGCAGUGGGCAGAUGAGGAAGACAAAGAGCGGGAACGAUUUGGUUCUCACCACAACCAAGGGCGCGACAACAGCAACCACAAUGACCAAGAUAGAACUCGGCACAAUGAUACUCGAAAUAACUUUUCGAGUAAUCAUAACCGCAAAAGGAAGCCCGACAACACUGUUGCUGCCAUGACCAACUCCGGGAAAAAGGGAUCCCGCAAAAAUGAUGAUGGGCCGACCUUCACCGAACUACUCAAAAAGCAGUGCCCAUGGCACCCGACUAGCAAGCACUCGGCAAUAGACUGCUACAGCAUAUGUCAAGUAAUGCAAGACUUACCCACGCCACCACCCCCUGAAGAGUACACCAAGAAAAAAGAUAAGGGCAAGAACAAAGUCCACAGUGACGAAGAAGAAGAGGCCGAUUUCCAGACCGCCUCCAAAACAGUCAACGUCAUCUUUGGCGGAAUCCUAGGCACCGCAUCCAAGCGAGCCAACAAACUCGUACUCAGGGAGAUCAUGGCCAUUGAACUAAUGGAUCCAACAUCGCUAAAGUGGUCAGAAGUGCUCAUAUCCUUCAGUAGAAAGAACCAAUGGACUAAGUUCUCAGAACCAGGUCGGUUCCCCCUAGUACUCGAUCCGGUUGUGGCAGGCUCAAAGUUAACCAAAGUACUCAUCGACAAUGGAAGUGGACUCAAUGUCAUUUUCGCCAAAACAUUGAGGAAGAUGUGCCUCGACGUUACUGAAAUGCUUACUCCAACGGAUUCACCCUUCUAUGGUCUCAUACCUGGAAAUGCAGCUAUACCACUAGGACAAGUCGUCCUCCCAGUUACCUUUGAAACUAAAGAACACUAUCGUACCGAGUACAUCAGAUUUGAAGUCGCCGACUUCGAAACAUCUUACCACGCCAUACUCGGAAGGCCAACACUUGCCAAGUUCAUGGCCAUACCACACUAUGUUUACUUGGUACUCAAAAUGCCAGGCCCCAAGGGAGAACUAACGCUACGAGGAUAUCUACGGCGAUCCUACGAAUGCGACACCGAAGCCGUGAAAAUUGCUGCGACUUCUCAAGCACCUAGUCACAGCUUCAAAAAAGCUCCAUCCAACCGAACUUGAGAUCCCAAAAAACAAGUCGGGGUCCACAAAGGUGAAACCCGCCAGCGAGCAAGACUUCAAACCAGUCGACCUCCAGACGGGCAACCCUUCCAAGACAGUCCUGAUCGGAACAGGGCUAGAUCCUAAAUAGCAAUCCGCGCUCGUCAGUUUCCUUCAGGCUAACCAUGAUAUCUUCGCUUGGAAAUCGGCUGACAUGCCAGGUGUGCCCAAGGAGCUGAUCGAGCACUCUCUAAAUGUUGAUCCCAAAGCUACUCUAAAACGGCAACGACUUCACCGGUUCGCUCAAGACAGACGAGAAGCAAUCAAAAAAGAGUUAGCCAAGCUACUCGCGGCAGGGUUCAUCAAAGAAAUCUUUCACCCUGACUGGCUCGCCAACCCCGUGCUCAUUCAUAAGAAAAAUAACAAGUGGAGAAUGUGCGUCGACUACACCGACCUUAACAAGCACUGCCCAAAAGACCCUUUCGAACUACCCAGGAUCGACCAAGUGGUUGACUCCACCGCUGGGUGCGCUUUACUAUGCUUUCUCGACUGCUACUCCGGCUAUCAUCAGAUAAGCCUCAAGGAAGAAGAUCAAGCCAAAACAACUUUCAUCACACCUUUCAGAGCUUUCUGCUACAAAAUAAUGUCCUUCGGACAAAAAAUGCAGGGGCAACUUAUCAACGAGCUAUUUAGAUGUGCUUCGAAAAGCAGCUUCACCGCAAUGUCGAAGCUUACGUCGACGAUGUAGUCGUCAAAACAAGAAACCAAGAGGAACUCAUCGAUGACCUGGAGGAAACUUUCUCUAGUCUGCGAGCUUUCCGAUGGAAACUCAAUCCUACUAAGUGUGUCUUCGGAGUACCUUCUGACAAGCUACUCGGGUUCAUCAUUAGCCAUCACGGCAUUGAGGCCAACCCGGAAAAAAUAUCUGCCACCACAAACAUGCAAGCACCAGCUAACAUCAAGGAUGUGCAGAAACUCACAGGCUGCAUGGCCGCUCUCAACUUGUUCAUCUCAAGACUUGGAGAACAAGGACUACCCUUCUUCAAGCUUCUCAAAUGUCAAGACAAGUUCAAAUGGACGGAAGAGGCAGACAAGACACUAACACAACUCAAAGACUUUCUGUCAAAGCCUCAUGUACUCACCGCUCCUUCUCCGAACGAAGACUUGCUCCUAUACAUAUCAGCUACUACUCAUGUCGUCAGCACGGCAAUAGUAGUCGAACGGUCUGAACCGGGCCACGCUUACAAGGUCCAACGACCUGUCUCCUUCGUCAGCGAAGUACUCUCGGACUCCAAAACUCGGUUUUCACCGAUACAAAAGCUCUUAUACGCAAUCCUGCCCACCUCCCAGAAACUGCGCCAUUAUUUCCAGGAGCACAACAUCACAGUCAUCUCUGACUUCCCGCUCGGUGAAAUUCUUCACAACAGAGACGCCACGGAUAGAAUCUCCAAAUGGGUAGUUGAACUCGGAGCUCUCACCUUGGACUUCAAGCCAAGGACAGCUAUCAAAUCCCAAGCUUUGGUCGACUUCGUAGCUGAAUGGACUGAAAAUCAAGUACCAACACCAGUCGAACGGCCAGAACACUGGGUAAUUGUUGACGCUAGAUUUCGACACGAGUAAAAUCGGCGUUAGGAGAGGAAGAGAAAUUAGAAGAUGCGGCGAGAUACAAGGGCGACGAUUGGAAAUCGGCCGAUUGGUGAUACAGUCAAGGAUCGGUUGAUUGAUGCUACAGUCGAGGAUCGGCCGAUUGACCCUUGGAGUUCCGCCUCGCCCGACCCCAGAGGUUUGGGAUCGGACGUGCCCGACCCUCCAAAGGAGGAUCUCCGCCUCACCCGACCCCUGAGGUUUGGGAUCGGACGCGCCCGACCCUCCAAAGGAGGAUCUCCGCCUCGCCCGACUUUAGUUUCCAGGGUCGGAGUAAGUCUGAGCCCUCGACAUGAGGGUCCUAAUCGGUUACCCCUUGCCGAUGAGGUGAUCGGCCGAUUAGGAGGUUGGAAUAGUUGGGCUGGUGUGGGCUUAAAAAGGAUUAUGAAGAUGAAGAGGGAAUCAGCCCAUGAAGUGCGUGAUAAUCGACCUAGUACGAAUUGUACUUGUAAAUAUUCGUUUUUUGUUUAAAUUUAGGGAUAGAGUUCUAGUCGGAUAAGAAGUUGUUUGUACGGGGCUAUAAAUAUCCACCCUUGUAGAUCUGUAAUCAUCAUCAACUCAAUACAAAUAACUACUAUUUCCUCGUACUUACUUUCAAGCAGGCGAUUUCGCCAACACUUUUGUUCUUUUCACGAGUUCGUACGGGUUGGUGGGGCUGCAUCAACUUGACCUCCGGGCGAUCUUGUAAGUUCCGCUUAUCGAGUAAAUUCUAAGCUUUAACUUCGGGCACAUCGCUGUCGUUUCAUUUAGAUUUAUUCAUCAGUUAUCGAUAUUUUUACUAGAAUUCUAGGUGUUACCUGUUGUUCUAGUUUUAUCACCAGUUAUCCAGCUAGGAAUCGGUAAUUUCGGCUUUUCUUGUACUUCGUUGUUUAAUCUAUUUAUUUCAUGCAUAGUCGAUUAGAUCUGUUCCUAGUGUUGCUACCGUAGCGCUGUUUAGAUUACUGUAGCAGUUUUCUUCAUUAACGUUGCUCGGUAAUCGGCCGCAUCAUAGCCGAUUUCUUUAUUAUGGCAAAUUGGCCGAUCCGCUGAUAAGCUUUCUCGAGAUCGGAACUUUAGCCGAUCGCAACCUCUGGGAAGUGACACGUUUUCUUUCCUUGCCAAUCAAUAGGUCAGAUUGGCUGGCACGCCGCGCGAACUGUUCUAGGGCGAUCACCCGAACAGGAGCAAAGCAGAUUCUCCCGGGUCGUGUGUCCGACGCUGGGAAUUCGAUCAGCCGAUUUCUAGCACCAACACACUUUUGGCACGCCCGGUGGGACCAAAACAACCGCCACCAUAUCGAAAGCUGCUGAAGUCUUCGAAGAUAACGUCAUCGAAGUGACAGAGGAAGAUCUCAGGGAUGACCAGAGGGAAGAACUAGAGAAGCAGAAGGCAUACUACCGGAAGACAUGUCUGCAGUCCUUCAGUCGCACCAGGAGCGGGGAGACUGUCAAAAAGACUCCGUUUCCAACUCCCCACCAGAUCACAAUCACCGAGGACUCGGACAAGAUGUCCGAGAUGGUUCAACAAUCCGUUUAUCAAGCUUUCAUCGAUCAGUCCCCGGUGCUUUCUAAUACGGUAUACAAUGCCGUCAUCAGCUCCUUAGCUAGCGGUAUAUCUCAAGGGUACCAGGGGCUAGCAUAUGCUCCGCCGAUUACGGCUCCAAACAAGAAUACACCUUAUUCGGCUUCUCAGCCGACCCAAAUUCCAGUUGGGGGUUCUGGUGCUUCCUCAUCAUGGAUCCCUAUGGGGUUUAAUGGCGCGCAAUACCUCCAGCCACAUCCCAUUCAAUUGUCCUCCGUGCAGUUUCCUCCGUUAAAUCCAGCGCCUUGGGGGGCACCAUCAGUGACGGCCGUCCAGGAUCAACCGGCCAACCAAGGAAGUCCCCAACUCCAGGCGUCUUUCCAGGCGGCCGCUCGACCAACCAUGCCGCAGUACCAGCCUGUCGCACCAGAGAUAAGCAGAGCAGCAGAAUCAACGGAAGUACUCCGGGGCGUUGCGCCGCUCGUACUAUAUAACAAAAUGUUGGAGGUAUGCCCUAGAGGCAAUCAUAGAGAUGAUGAUAUUCCAUUUGUAUCCAUGAUUUGUAUAUUGUGUUCAUUGAAUAUCCAUUAAAGGCUACUUGAAUUGAUUUGCAAUUAUGUGAAUUGUAUGUGAAACUCUUUACUUGUAUGGUUAUUCUAAAGUUGUCCCUAGUCGGAGUUCAUGUGAGGACACGCAUGAAUAUUAGACUAGCACAUGUAUUAGUUGAUGACUAUGUUUCACAAGUCAUAGACAUGGAGAUGUUGAACUAAUAAUGUGGACACAUGUGGAGACAUGUGUUAGGACUGACCCAACACGAGAAGUAGUUCUCUCUUUAAACAACAUAUACGCUUUGUCCUUAGACCUGAGAUUGUCGCAUGUAUUCUAGAUGUGGAUCGACCUACUUAGGGGCUAUCAAACGCUACGCCGUAACAGGGUAGUUAUAAAGGUAGCUUUCGGGUUUGUCAAGAAGCAUGCUAUGAGACAUGGUCAAUCAAGAUGGGAUUUGCCCCUCUCUGAUUGAGAGUGAUAUCUCUGGGCCCCUCGAGUGAUCGGAUCCGAAAAUGCAUGGCCAUGCUACGUACGGUUAAGAGUUAACCUACAAAGGGAUUCCGAAUCACAGGAUCGAGAAAGAGCGGUCGGCUUGAAGCUAGACCAAAUAUCGUGAGGCAAAGGGAAUAGCAUGUAUAUUAUGUUGUGAUGGUUCGUCUGAUAUGAUCUCGUAUGCGUAUAGGAGUUGGCACGUCUUGCUAGAGGCCGCUACCGACUAUUGGGCCGAGUAGGAGUACUCGGGCCAUGUCUAUACGUAUCCGAACCCAUAGGGUCACACACUUAAGGGGCUGGAAGCCCAAUUCGGAUCUGAUCCGAGUUGGAUUAGGUUUAGGAGUACUAAUGGGCCUCGGACCCAGAGGCCCGUCAGGAACCCCUAUAAAUAGAGGGGUGGGGGCGCCCUAGGGUUGACACCUUUUGGCUGAACACACUUGCCGCGCCUCCCACGCCCUCGCCUGUUGCAACUCGUGGAUCUAGCAGUUCGGCUUGCGACGCUUCCUCCCUGCACGUGUGGAUACCUUGGAGGUGUUGCGCCUGCAGCACUUGGACGAGCCAUCGACGAGCCGCCGACGAGCCACGACGAGCCGACGACGAGCCGCGGCACCGGAGGCGAUCUUGCUGUGCACGUGGACGAGCUGCUGAGGAGCUGCUGGACGUGAUCGACUACGUACAACUACGUUGAUCGACUACGUACGACUACGUGAUCGUCUUCACUGCACCGACGCAUAUCUACAUCUUCCGCACCAGUAGUGCGUCGAGUGGUAAUCCCGUGAUCCUUAUACGGCAGUUCUUCCUGGUUAUACGCGGUAGAAAUUUUGAUUUGCGCUAGCGUAGCCUACCUCGUAUCCCAACACAAAAGGGACGGCUCAUUCAAACAGCCGACCCUGACUACGCAGCCGGCUAUGACACAUCAGAUGCCACACGCUUUCACUCAUCAUCAAGUCAUCCCGCCGCCAAUAUACCAGCACGUACCAGUCCCUCAGCCGACGGUAUACCAGCAAUAGCCGGACUGGUCGUCACACAUAGCAGAGGUGAUUCAGGAACAAUUCGGCUUGAAACCGAAGGUGCAGACCUACACAUACAGGACACCGUACCCGCCUACAUACGACUUACUGCCGUUUCCCCAUUGGUAUAAAGUUCCUGAUUUCACCAAGUUUUCGGGACUGGACGACACCUCAACCGUGGAACACGUGAACAGAUUCAUCAUCCAAUGCGGGGAAGCAGCGGCGCAGGAUGCUCUAUAGGUGCGCCUUUUUUUCGUCAUCCCUGUCUGGGUCGGCCUUCUAGUGGUUCACCACGUUACCGCCCAACUCGAUAAUUACAUGGGCCGAUCUGUAAAGGCAAUUUCAUAAAUACUUCUACGUCGGAAUACAUGAAAUGAAGUUGUCCGAUUUAACCAGCCUCAGACAGAGAAGCGACGAGCCAAUUUCCUCAUAUGUGCAAAGGUUCAGGGAGAUCAGGAACAAAUGCUAUUCUCUAGCCCUGACUGAUGCACAGUUGGCCGAUAUAGCCUUCCAAGGCCUCCUACCUCAUAUCAAAGAAAAAUAUGCCUCACAGGAGUUUGAGAGCUUAAGCCAAAUCGUCCUUCACAUAGAACCACUGAUUUGUUGGAGGUAUGCCCUAGAGGCAAUCAUAGAGAUGAUGAUAUUCCAUUUGUAUCCAUGAUUUGUAUAUUGUGUUCAUUGAAUAUCCAUUAAAGGCUACUUGAAUUGAUUUGCAAUUAUGUGAAUUGUAUGUGAAACUCUUUACUUGUAUGGUUAUUCUAAAGUUGUCCCUAGUCGGAGUUCAUGUGAGGACACACAUGAAUAUUAGACUAGCACAUGUAUUAGUUGAUGACUAUGUUUCACAAGUCAUGGACAUGGAGAUGUUGAACUAAUAAUGUGGACACAUGUGGAGACAUGUGUUAGGACUGACCCAACACGAGAAGUAGUUCUCUCUUUAAACAACAUAUACGCUUUGUCCUUAGACCUGAGAUUGUCGCAUGUAUUCUAGAUGUGGAUCGACCUACUUAGGGGCUAUCAAACGCUACGCCGUAACAGGGUAGUUAUAAAGGUAGCUUUCGGGUUUGUCAAGAAGCAUGCUAUGAGACAUGAUCAAUCAAGAUGGGAUUUGCCCCUCUCUGAUUGAGAGUGAUAUCUCUGGGCCCCUCGAGUGAUCGGAUCCGAAAAUGCAUGGCCAUGCUACGUACGGUUAAGAGUUAACCUACAAAGGGAUUCCGAAUCACAGGAUCGAGAAAGAGCGGUCGGCUUGAAGCUAGACCAAAUAUCGUGAGGCAAAGGGAAUAGCAUGUAUAUUAUGUUGUGAUGGUUCGUCUGAUAUGAUCUUCGUAUGCGUAUAGGAGUUGGCACGUCUUGCUAGAGGCCGCUACCGACUAUUGGGCCGAGUAGGAGUACUCGGGCCAUGUCUAUACGUAUCCGAACCCAUAGGGUCACACACUUAAGGGGCUGGAAGCCCAAUUCGGAUCUGAUUCGAGUUGGAUUAGGUUUAGGAGUACCAAUGGGCCUCGGACCCAGAGGCCUGUCAGGAACCCCUAUAAAUAGAGGGGUGGGGGCGCCCUAGGGUUGACACCUUUUGGCUGAACACACUUGCCGCGCCUCCCACGCCCUCGCCUGUUGCAACUCGCGGAUCUAGCAGUCCGGCUUGCGACGCUUCCUCCCUGCACGUGUGGAUACCUUGGAGGUGUUGCGCCUGCAGCACUUGGACGAGCCGCCGAUGAGCCGCCGACGAGCCACGACGAGCCAACGACGAGCCGCGGCACCGGAGGUGAUCUUGCUGCACGUGGACGACCUGCUGAGGAGCUGCUGGACGUGAUCGACUACGUACAACUACGUUGAUCGACUACGUACGACUACGUGAUCGUCUUCACUGCACCGACGCAUAUCUACAUCUUCCGCACCAGUAGUGCGUCGAGUGGUAAUCCCGUGAUCCUUAUACGGCAGUUCUUCCUGGUUAUACGCGGUAGAAAUUUUGAUUUGCGCUAGCGUAGCCUACCUCGUAUCCCUACAGUGGUAUCAGAGCCGUAGCUGCUUAGUUUUGGAUUCGGGAUAUGUGCAUAUGGAGAUAUGCGAGUUCUCUGUUUGAUCUAUGUCCUGAUUUCGUGCCCUUGCUGCAAUGGUAGUGUAACGACAUACUCCUACCGGUCGGUUUCCGCCAUCGGAGUUAAGUGAUACACGUAAAUCCAGUUGCAGUGAGGGAAGAUCAAUAUGAUUGGUCAAAUCGAGAUCCAGGGUCAUACGCCAGGCGCAUUAGAUGUGCAAUAGUAGAUGUGAUCUACUGCCGGGGUCGGGAUUUUGCCGUAUGCGCAUGCUUCGGUAAAUCAGCCGUAACUUUUCGGUACGAUCUCGGAUCGAGGCGAUUUCUAUACGAAAAUUGAUCUACAGAAAAAGUUACACAUGAAAUUCAACGGCUUUGCCGUUUUCUGCGAAAUUAGAUUUCCCAAAUUCGGCUUGGAAGAUGGAGUUUCGGGCCUCCGAAGUUUGGAACGUUAGGACGCCUAACUCUCUUUUGCAGGAUGUAUGUAUCUUGUGAUCAGUAUGGCCCCUUGUGUAUGUGAUGCAUGUGUGUAACUCAUUCGUGACCUGCGUGUCGCGCGUACGGCAACACGGCAGGAGCCAUAUGUGUUGUCACUUUAUUGUAUUUAAUGGUCUGCGUACCAAUCUGUGAUGAUCCAAGCAACUAUGUAAUCUUCAUUACUAGAUUCUUUACUAGCUAUUAGGCGUAAUAGCAUGCUCUAGUUCUUGGAGGACUCAUCACCAGGAGGAUGGCGCACAUGGAACAUGGAGAUGGAGAUCACCAUGGUGAACAGGUUCUAUGGAGAUGGAGAUCACCAUAUGAAAAACGGGCCAUACUGUGUCACAACUGUGUGAAUGCUAUUCUGUUUAUGUUUUACUUUCUGCAUGCUGUGAUGUUAGAAGUAGAACGAUCCCUCACAAAGUUUAAGUUAGUAUGCCCUCCCAACUAAAACUUGCACCGUCCCAUGUCUUGUACAAUUAGUGGUGGGUCUAUGAAAUUAGAGUGCCACUAGUUUUCCUUGACUAGACGGGUUUGUGUCGGACACUUACACGCAUAAGGGUUGGUUUGCUUAACAAGGUCAUCUUAACGGUUAAGGACCUUGGGGCAUAAAGGUUGGGCGCCGAGACAUAGAGAUGUCACCCAACAACAGGAGUCAUAUGUGAUAUGAUUAGCAAAAGUUGCUUACCGAUCUGCCUCGUUUGCUAGCUGUGAUGCUAAAGCUCACUAGUAGACUUGUUAGUUGUGGAUCCUGAAUCACUAAGUUUCAAUAGAGGGAUAUUGAUUUUAGUGGGAGUAGAUUCUGUUAAAAUAGUUUAAUGUAAUUUGCUCUAUCAUGGAUACGUUUGUCUUAGUGUAUUUUGCAUUACUUUUGUUGUAGAUUAAAUGGCACCUAGCAACACCACCACAUCGUUUGCUUUGCGUUCGGUCCUUGAGAAGGACAAGUUGAAUGGAACAAACUACUCGGAUUGGAUCCGCAACCUGAGAAUUGUUCUCAGGGCUGAGAAAAAGGAAGAUGUUCUAGACAACCCACUACCAGAAGAACCUGCUGAGGAUGCACCCGCUGCUGCUAAGAAUGCUUACAAGAAAGCAUGUGAUGCUAACCUCGAAGUAAGCUGCCUUAUGCUUGCUUGCAUGGAACCCGAGCUGCAGAUGCAGUUCGAAACAAACCAUGAGGCGCACGAUAUGAUCGUGGCGCUUAGAGACAUGUUCCAAACACAGGCCAGGACUGAAAGGUUCAAUGUGUCUAAAGCCUUUGUUGAGAGCAAGCUAGCAGAAGGCGCAGCAGUAGGACCACACGUAAUCAAGAUGGUUGGUUACACUCAACGGUUGGAGAAGCUAGGCUUCCCACUGGGCCAAGAGUUGGCCACUGAUUUCAUUCUUUCGUCUCUUCCGGCUAGCUAUGGGAACUUCAUCUCGAACUACCAUAUGCAUGGGACGGAGAAGGGUCUGAAUGAGCUGUGUGGCAUGCUUAAAACAGCAGAGGCUGACAUAAAGAAAAGCGCUAGUACCAGCCAUGUGAUGGCGAUACAGAACAAGCCCAGCUUUAAGAAGAAGGGCAAUUCUUGGAAGAAGAAGGGCAAGGCUGGAACGUCCAAGCCAAACCCACCGCCCAAGUCUGAAACCUUUGAAAAGUUCAAGGAAUUUCAGAAUGAAGUUGAAAAUCAGCGUGGCAAGAAAAUUAAGGCCUUACGAUCUGAUCGUGGAGGCGAGUAUUUGAGCCACGAGUUUAGCAAUCAUCUAAAGAGUUGCGGAAUUGUUCCACAACUUACGCCGCCUGGAACACCUCAGAGAAACGGUGUGUCCGAGCGACGUAAUCGAACUUUGUUAGACAUGGUUCGAUCAAUGAUGAGCCAGUCGGACCUACCGUUGUCAUUUUGGGGAUACGCUCUAGAAACAGCAGCUUUCACACUUAAUAGGGUACCAUCUAAAUCCGUAGUUAAGACACCAUAUGAGAUAUGGACUGGAAAGGUUCCUAGUUUGUCUUUUCUAAAGAUUUGGGGAUGUGAAGUGUUUGUCAAGCGACUUCAGUCGGACAAGAUCACACCCAAGUCGGAUAAGUGCAUUUUCGUGGGAUAUCCAAAGGAAACUUUGGGAUAUUAUUUCUACAACCGAUCAGAAGGCAAAGUGUUUGUCGCUCGGAACGGGGUUUUCCUAGAGAAAGAGUUUCUCAAAGGAGAAAAGAGUGGAAAGACAGUGCAUCUUGAAGAAGUUUAAGAUGAGCCAAUCGGGCAAGAAUCAAUGAGUGAUGCUAACGUAACAGAACAAGUUGAGAUACCCAUGGCAAGAGAAGCACCGCCGCAACCACGAAGGUCAGCAAGGCUCCGCGAAAUGCGAGAAAUAUUAUUGUUGGACAAUGAUGAGCCUGCGACAUAUGCAGAAGCAAUGAUGGACCUAGACUCCAAAAAAUGGCAGAGUGCCAUGCAAUCCGAAAUAGAGUCCAUGGGAGACAAUCAAGUUUGGAACUUGGUUGACCCGCCUGAUGGUGUUAAAGCCAUAGAGUGCAAGUGGAUCUAUAAGAAGAAAAAGGACAUGGAUGGAAAUGUUCACAUCUACAAAGCACGACUUGUCGCAAAAGGUUUUCGACAAGUUCAAGGAGUUGACUACGACGAGACCUUCUCGCCCGUAGUGAUGCUUAAGUCCAUUCGGAUUAUUCUAGCUAUAGCUGCAUAUUUCGAUUAUGAGAUAUGGCAGAUGGAUGUCAAGACAGCUUUCCUGAAUGGAAACCUAGCUGAGGACGUGUAUAUGAUACAGCCCGAGGGUUUUGUCGAUCCGAAAAAUGCUGGAAAGGUAUGCAAGCUUCAGAGAUCCAUUUAUGGAUUGAAGCAAGCAUCUAGGAGUUGGAACAUUCGUUUUGAUGAAGUGGUCAAAGGGUUUGACUUCACCAAGAACGAAGAAGAGUCUUAUGUUUACAAGAAGGUUAGUGGGAGCUCUGUAGUAUUUCUAAUCUUAUAUGUGGAUGACAUAUUACUGAUUGGAAAUAAUAUUCCUAUGCUUGAAUCCGUAAAGACGUCACUGAAAAAUAGUUUUUCGAUGAAGGACUUAGGGGAAGCGGCAUAUAUUCUGGGUAUUAAGAUCUAUAGAGAUAGAUCGAGAAGGCUUAUAGGUUUGAGCCAAGAUACUUAUAUUGACAAAGUGUUGAAGCGGUUCAGCAUGGAAGAGGCAAAGAAAGGGUUCUUGCCUAUGUCACAUGGCAUACAUCUCAGCAAGACUCAGUGUCCUUCGACUGCUGAUGAGCGGGAUCGCAUGAGUAGAGUGCCAUAUGCCUCGGCUAUUGGAUCUAUCAUGUAUGCAAUGAUAAGUACUCGCCCAGAUGUUUCAUAUGCGCUAAGUAUGACAAGUAGACACCAAUCUGAUCCAGGUGAGAGUCACUGGACAGCGGUGAAAAACAUUCUUAAGUACUUGAGAAGGACUAAAGAUAUGUUCCUCGUCUAUGGAGGUCAGGAGGAGCUCGUUGUAACAGGUUACACCGAUGCUAGUUUCCAAACCGACAGAGACGAUUCAAAGUCACAAUCAGGAUUUGUGUUCACGUUAAAUGGUGGUGCUGUUAGUUGGAAGAGUUCCAAGCAGGAGACGGUGGCCAAUUCUACGACAGAAGCCGAGUACAUCGCGGCUUCGGAAGCCGCGAAGGAAGGUGUUUGGAUAAGGAAUUUCCUCAUUGAGCUUGGUGUGUUCCCGAAUGCGUCCAGCCCAUUGAAUCUCUACUGUGAUAAUAAUGGGGCAAUUGCGCAAGGAAAGGAGCCAAGGAACCACCAGAAGAACAAACACGUAAUGCGGCGAUUUCAUCUCAUUCGAGACUUCGUUAACCGGGGUGAGAUCAAGAUAUGCAAAAUACACACGGAUCUGAACAUUUCUGAUCCGUUGACAAAACCACUCCCGCAGGCUAAGCAUGAUGCGCAUGUAAGAGCUAUGGGUAUUAGGUACAUUCUAGAUUGUCUCUAGUGCAAGUGGGAGACUGUUGGAGGUAUGCCCUAGAGGCAAUCAUAGAGAUGAUGAUAUUCCAUUUGUAUCCAUGAUUUGUAUAUUGUGUUCAUUAAAUAUCCAUUAAAGGCUACUUGAAUUGAUUUGCAAUUAUGUGAAUUGUAUGUGAAACUCUUUACUUGUAUGGUUAUUCUAAAGUUGUCCCUAGUCGGAGUUCAUGUGAGGACACACAUGAAUAUUAGACUAGCACAUGUAUUAGUUGAUGACUAUGUUUCACAAGUCAUGGACAUGAAGAUGUUGAACUAAUAAUGUGGACACAUGUGGAGACAUGUGUUAGGACUGACCCAACACGAGAAGUAGUUCUCUCUUUAAACAACAUAUACGCUUUGUCCUUAGACCUGAGAUUGUCGCAUGUAUUCUAGAUGUGGAUCGACCUACUUAGGGGCUAUCAAACGCUACGCCGUAACAUGGUAGUUAUAAAGGUAGCUUUCGGGUUUGUCAAGAAGCAUGCUAUGAGACAUGGUCAAUCAAGAUGGGAUUUGCCCCUCUCUGAUUGAGAGUGAUAUCUCUGGGCCCCUCGAGUGAUCGGAUCCGAAAAUGCAUGGCCAUGCUACGUACGGUUAAGAGUUAACCUACAAAGGGAUUCCGAAUCACAGGAUCGAGAAAGAGCGGUCGGCUUGAAGCUAGACCAAAUAUCGUGAGGCAAAGGGAAUAGCAUGUAUAUUAUGUUGUGAUGGUUCGUCUGAUAUGAUCUCGUAUGCGUAUAGGAGUUGGCACGUCUUGCUAGAGGCCGCUACCGACUAUUGGGCCGAGUAGGAGUACUCGGGCCAUGUCUAUACGUAUCCGAACCCAUAGGGUCACACACUUAAGGGGUUGGAAGCCCAAUUCGGAUUUGAUCCGAGUUGGAUUAGGUUUAGGAGUGCUAAUGGGCCUCGGAUCCAGAGGCCCAUCAGGAACCCCUAUAAAUAGAGGGGUGGGGGCGCCCUAGGGUUGACACCUUUUGGCUGAACACACUUGCCGCGCCUCCCACGCCCUCGCCUGUUGCAACUCGUGGAUCUAGCAGUCCGGCUUGCGACGCUUCCUCCCUGCACGUGUGGAUACCUUGGAGGUGUUGCGCCUGCAGCACUUGGACGAGCCAUCGACGAGCCGCCGACGAGCCACGACGAGCCGACGACGAGCCGCGGCACCGGAGGCGAUCUUGCUGUGCACGUGGACGAGCUGCUGAGGAGCUGCUGGACGUGAUCGACUACGUACAACUACGUUGAUCGACUACGUACGACUACGUGAUCGUCUUCACUGCACCGACGCAUAUCUACAUCUUCCGCACCAGUAGUGCGUCGAGUGGUAAUCCCGUGAUCCUUAUACGGCAGUUCUUCCUGGUUAUACGCGGUAGAAAUUUUGAUUUGCGCUAGCGUAGCCUACCUCGUAUCCCUACAAGAAGUACGUACUUUCGAUCCACGGAGGAACUUUUAGAAGAUGGUGGCAUUCUUAGAAGAGGUUGAAACCGAGGAAGACGCAGAAAUCGGCCUUGCGGAAUGGGUUAAAGGGAAGAAGCCGAUAUCGUGUCCGUUCCAAAUGAAGGAGCCGGAAACGUUCGGAUUCGACACAUAAAAGGCCGACAAAAUCUUCGACCUACUCCUCCAGGAAGGACAGAUCAAGCUCUCACCAUACCAUACGAUUCCUUCUGCCGAACAGCUGAAAAAGAUGAAAUAUUGCAAGUGGCAUAACGCUACCUCCCAUGAUACAAACGAAUGCAAAAUCUUCCGGCAGCAGAUACAGUCGGCCAUCGAGCAAGGCAGACUUAAAUUUGAAGUUCCAACAAAAUCGGCCAAGCCGAUGAAGAUCGACCAGCACCCCUUCCCUACCAACAUGGUUGACACGGGGAGAAAUUCGCUCCAAACCAAGGUGCUGACGUCCGAAUCGGCUAAGCAAAGCGGUGUCGUGGAUCCCAGGAAUCAAGCAACACCCGAAGACGUCAAAGGAAAACGACGGAUGGAAGAUGAUGACGACGGGAUGGGAGAAUCACGAAGGCCCAUUACUUCCCAAUUUCUGCUCAAUAAGUAUCAACGGCAACAUGAACGCUCAAGAUCCCGGGAAGAAGCAAUGCGGUGACAUGAAGAUCACUGGCGAUGUCCGUUCUUCAUUCACUAUUGGGAAAGCAACCUCAGGUUGCCUUCGGCCGAUAAUUGCCCCGAGUGCAACAGCCCGUAUCGUAACAAUCGGUCGUUCAGCAGGUCUCGCUCCAGAGAUGGGAAAUCAGAGCCGAUUAGUAGGAACUGGCGCGACAAGACGACCGGCGCCCUCCAGUACGUGAUUGGCUCGGGGGCAGAAGUGACCGGUAUGACCGGUCGGAAGGCAGGCGCGAUGAUGGGCCGGGGGGCAGAUUUGAUCGACAUGACCGGCUAGAAAACAAGGUUAGCGUCCACAGUCGACUUGAAGAGAUGGCCGAUGCUCGGGUGUCAGACGAGAACUCUUUAGGACGCGAACCGGAAUGGGAACGUGCUAGACCACGAACCAAACCGGUGAACCCCAGAUGGUGCCCCGAUGGAUUGACCAAGUCUCAAAAACGGAGAAUCCAAUAUCUCCGCCAGUGGGAACAACAGGAGGAAGAGCAAGGGCAUACGGCAGGCGAGAAGAACGACAGGUCUCAGGUAUGGCGCCCCAAAAGAAACGACAGAGGAGGCGACGAAUCGGCAGCUGACAUCGACAUGGUUUUCAUACUGCCGUUGGAAUUCAUGACUCCUGCCGACCGAUAGGACAUGUCGGCAAUAGAAGAGCAGAUGGCACAAUUGGCUUUGGAGCCAAUGAAAGCCACAUUCAAGAAGCCUGAAGAUGACAAACGACAACACCUGAAGGCAUUGUUUCUUAAAGGGCAUGUCAACGGCCGACCCAUCACCAGAUUACUGGUAGACGGGGGAACUGCAGUUAACAUCAUGCCGUACGCCAUGUUCCGGAAGCUAGGGAAGAGCGAUAACGACCUCACCAGGACAGAUAUGAUGCUCAAGGAUUUCGAAGGCAACGUAUCGCCCGCUCGCGGCGCUCUCUGCGUCGACCUCACUAUCAGCAGUAAGACCCUUCCUACUACUUUCUUUAUCAUUAAUGGCAAGGGGUCCUACAACAUGUUACUCGGCCGAGACUGGAUACAUGCAAAUUGCUGUAUCCCGUCUACAAUGCAUUAAUGCCUCAUACAAUGGGUCGGCGACAGCAUCGAGGUGGUCACCGCCGAUUCCGCAUACAGCAUCGCGGCAGCUGACACGCAGCAGUGGAGCUGCGAAACCGUCAAAUGCAUAUCCGGGAAAAUAUGGGACACUGACUUCUUGAAGGUGUCCGAUUUUGGCCUACAGCCGAUCCGAGCAGUCGGCUCCGAAGACUCAGACUAAAUGGAUCAGUUCGCCCGAGAAGAUGGAAAGCUGGGACAUAGGUUCACGUCGGCCGAUUCAUUAGAAAUGAUAGACUUAGGCGAUGGCACCAAACCAAGGCCGACAUAUAUUAGUGCAGAUUUGGAUCCGGAAUACAAAUGUAAAUUGACAAGUUUGUUAAGAGAAUUUAAGGUUUGUUUGGGAAUAUCAUGAGAUGCCCGGAUUAGACCGAUCUAUCGUUGAGCAUCGGUUACCCAUAAAGCCAGGGUAUCGGCCGUAUCAACAGCCUGCAUGGCGGUGUAAUCCUAAAAUCCUACCAGACAUAAAGGCCGAAAUAACGUGGCUAAUCGAAGCAAAAUUUAUUCGGCAAUGCUAUUAUGCCGAAUGGAUCUCCAACAUUGUACCAGUAUACAAGAAGAAUGGAAAGCUACGCGUAUGCGUCGAUUUCAGGAAUCUCAAUCAGGCCACACCAAUGGACGGAUACCCCAUGCCGACGGCCGAUGUGCUGAUAGAUGCCGCCGCAGGACACAAGGUUAUUAGUUUCAUGGAUGGAAACGCUGGGUACAAUCAGAUACUAAUGGCCGAAGAGGACAUUUCCAAAAUGGCUUUAAGAUGCCCGGGUCACCUUGGUCUAUUUGAGUGGGUGAUAAUGACUUUCGGCUUGAAAAAUACCGGCGCUACGUAUCAGAGAGCCAUGAAUUACAUAUUUCACAAACUUAUCGGCAUACUAGUAGAAAUCUACAUCGAUGACGUCGUAGUCAAAUCAAAAGGACAUCAGGAGCAUCUGGCUGAUUUACGACAGGUAUUGGAAUGCACUAAGAAACAUGGGCUGAAAAUGAACCCAAAUAAGUGUGCCUUCGGCGUAUCCGCCGGACAAUUCUUAGGAUUCAUGGUGCAUGAGCGGGGAAUAGAAAUCAAUCGAAAAACCAUAGCGGCUAUCAACAAAGUCAUGGCCCCGCAGAAUAAAACUGAGUUACAAUCUCUAAUCGGCAAGGUGAAUUUCAUCAGAAGAUUCAUAUCUAAUCUGUCUGGGCGAAUCCAAGCCUUCACACCAUUAUUAAAGUUGAAGCUCGACCAGGAGUUCAUAUGGGGGGAAGAGCAACGCAAGGCAUUGGAAGAUAUCAAGCAGUACUUGGUCUCACCACCGGUAUUGGUCCCCCCUCAAACUGGUAAGCCGUUUAAACUAUAUUUAUCAGCCGAUGAACGAGCUAUCGGGUCGGCUCUGGUCCAGGAGUUCGAGGGAAAGGAAUGGGUAAUUUAUUAUGUCAGUAGAAGACUUCUCGACGCCGAAACAAGGUAUCCUCCAGUGGAGCGGUUGUGCCUAUGCCUUUACUUCUCAUGUACCAAACUCAGGCACUAUUUGCUAUCAGUGGAAUGUGUGGUCGUAUGCAAGGAUGACGUGGUAAAAUACAUGCUGUCAUUGCCGAUUUUAAAAGGACGGAUCGGAAAAUGGAUCUUGGCUUUGUCGGAGUUUGACCUUCGAUAUGAAUCGGCAAAAGCCGUUAAGGGUCGGGUCAUGGCCGAUUUCGUUGCCCAGCACUGCGGGCCAGAGGCUACCUUCGUAGAACCAAUACCUUGGACCUUAUACUUUGAUGGAUCAUCAUGUGGGGCCGGAUCAGGAAUCGGCAUCGUCCUCAUAUCGCCUCGGGGGGCAAGCUAUGAUUUCUCUCUGCCAAUAGAAGCAUCCGCCACUAACAAUCAAGCAGAGUACCGAGCUGUACUGAAGGGAUUACAAUUGCUAAGGGAAGUCAAAGCUAAUUCUGUCAAAAUUUUUGGAGAUUCCAUGCUUAUCGUGGAUCAAUUAACAGGGAAGUCCGAGUGCAAGGACGGUGUGUUGAGAAUUUAUUGCGAAGAUUGCCUGCUGCUUCUGAGAGAAUUCAAGUCGGCAGUUAUCGAGCACAUCCCAAGGAAUCACAACGAGGAUGCCAACAAGCUCGCCCAACACGCAUCUGGGUAUCGGUCGAUUCAAGGCGCCAUGGCUCUAGAGCUCGCGGCCAAUGACUGGCGAAAGGAGAUUGCCGAUUACCUGAAAGAUCCAUCUAAGAAAGUGGAUCGGCGGGUACGUUUUCAUGCUACCAAAUAUGUGUUACUGGAAGACGACUUGUUCUACCGAACAAUUGAUGGCGUCCUACUCAAGUGUCUAGGAACGGAGGAGGCUAAGACUCUGAUGGGAGAAAUCCAUGAAGGAGUGUGUGGAGCCCACCAGUCGACACAUAAGAUGAAAUGGAUGAUUAGGAAUAAUGGGUAUUACUGGCCGACGAUCCUCGAAGAUUGCUUCAAAUAUUAUAAAGGAUGCCAGGAUUGUCAGAAGUACAGGAAUGUCCAACGUGCGCCCGCAUCGACCAUGAAUCCCAUUAUCAAACCAUGGCCGUUCAGAGGUUGAGGAAUAGACCUCAUCGGUCAAAUCUAUCCUCCGUCAAGCAAAGGGCACAAGUUCAUUCUGGUGGCCACUGAUUAUUUCACCAAAUGGGUGGAGGCGAUUCCGUUAAAGGCCGUAACAUCGGCUGCUAUAGUUGACUUCGUAAGGGACCAUAUCGUCUACCGCUUCGGCAUUCCCCAGACUAUCACAACCGAUCAAGGGACGAUGUUUACAUCAGGAGAAUUCGAGUUCACGGCCGACAUGGGAAUAAAAUUGUUAAACUCGUCUCCGUAUUAUGCCCAAGCUAAUGGCCAGGCCGAAUCUUCCAACAAAGGGAUAAUUAAGUUAAUUAAGAGGAAGAUAGAGGAGCAGCCGAAAAAAUGGCAUCUAUGUCUGACUGAAGCCCUAUGGGCAUACAGGAUGGCUUGCCAUGGGGCCACCAAGAUGUCCCCUUAUCAGUUGGUGUACAGUCAUGAGGCGGUACUACCAUGGGAAUUGAGGGCAGGGUCGAGACGCACUUCGCUCCAGGACCAGUUGGCGGCCGACGACUACUCCUCACUCAUGAAAAGGGAACUUGAUGACUUGGCUGGUGUGGCGGAACCGCCCAACUUAAGCUGGUUUAAGUGCGGCUAAUCGCUGUCGGAACAACAAUUAUCCGAAACGCACCUAAAACAGCAUAAGUCCGGUAGUCCGUCGAGUGUCCCUAGGACUCCUCGAAGGAUCCACGACUUGUCUCAUAGCCAUACAUCAGGAUAAUAUCCGCGAUGGGAUAAUAUCAACAAAUAUUAAAUUUUUAAAGACAUAUCAAAGGUACGAUAUAUUACAACCAUAGAUUGAAGAAAAACUAAACAGUGCAGGUUAGCGUGGUUCUAGAAAUUUAAAACAUGAACCAGUCCGGAAGAAAAAUAAACAUUUAAGUUUUAUUCUAGAGUAUCAUGAGACUCAUAAGAUACCCUAGAUCUUCGGAGCUUCCUCUUCGGUGGGUCCCUGCUGGUUUUCUGAAGAUAACAACAAGGGAUCCCCUGAGUACGAUGUACUCAGCAAGUCUUACCCGACUAACCAAUAUAAUAGCUUUCUUUGGAGGUGUAUGCUAGCUUUUUGGUGUACUUGGCUAAUACACUUUUUGCUGAAAAACUUACUACAAGUAAUGCCUUAGUUUUAUCUUUUAUUUGGUUAAGUUAUUACCUAACCAUUCUAGAUGAUGAGAAAAGAGUAAAUACAGCAAUAAGGUAUUUUAAGCCAUACAUCACUCAUUUAAAGGAAUAACAUUCAUGAAUUUACACUACGAUGCUCAACAGUGAUCAAGUGCAUUCAUAACCGAGAAUUGCGGCGAUCCGGAUCCAUUUACAUCCUGCAGGAGAGUACCCUGAUCACCAGCUAUAUACGACUGUACAGGUCGUACGUAACGACUUUUCGAUCAGCAAAUCCAAUGAUUGGGAAUAAGACUACCCGGACCCAGGGACGCACCCCCACAUGGGACCCCAAGUCUGGCCUGAUCACCAUGUGAGUUUCAGGCUACGCCCCUGCCAAUCUCCAGCACGUCAAGCACGGGUACGAAGUAUUCCCGAUCAGAGAGUUUACUAACCUACUGGGCUUUACUGGUCCCAUACCCAGUAAGUGAUCAGAUGCUUAUCACUUGAUCAAAGGUUAAGACAACGAAUCGGGCCUUAACCAAUUUGACUAGCAGACAUAACUACAUCUCUAGCUUCUGUCCGCUUCUCAAUUCCAAGUUAACCUUCCAUAUAUCACAUGUAUGACUCAAAGUUUUUCCUUAAGGUUGGUAAACCAAGCAUUUAAGCAACUAAGCAUUUCUAGACUUGGGUUAUCUUCUAAGGUUUGAACAAGUGGCAAAGAUGUCCUUAAAGCAAGGUAUGAUUAUACACAAGAAUAGGUUUCACGCAACUCCUAGACUUAGUGCAUACAUAUAGCAAAUAACCGAUAAUUAGUCACAUGAAAUAACGACUCCAAUAUAGAUAGGUAUAAAUGCACCGGGGCUUGCCUGGGAUCAACAAAGGUUAGUUCUUCAGAAAACUUCUUUACCAAAAGAGGCACUCCACAUUUCGCGAAUGAUGUCCAUCUCCAACUGAAAUCCAUGAAUUCCACUUCAGGAGUUGUGACGUCUACGAUUCAGUAUAUGCAAGAGUUAGAGAUGCAAAACUUUUUGAAUACAAGACUAUACAACUUUCCUUCAUGAUAAAGUUGCAAGCCAACAAGGACUAUACAAUUUAUCAUGAUAAAGUUGCAAGCCAACACACAAAAACUCGAAAAGAUUAACCUACCAUUUUUAUUUCCUUUACUAAUCCUAUCUUAGACCUUUUUCUUUACUUUUUAAAAGCAUUAUAAUAAUUUUCUAAUCUCAAAAACUUAUUUCCUAUGACUUAAUAAUGAUUUGUGGAUAAUAAAGCAUUUUUCAAGUUUUAUACAUUUAAUAAAGUUUAAGCAUUUAUUUAAAUACCUUAAAUAAAAAGGCAUUAAAUAAAUACCUAAAUUUUUAUUAUUUUUCCUAGGGUUUAAGAAUUUUAAUGCAUAAAGGAAAAUAAAACAAUCCUAAUAAAAUUGGCUUCACUAAUUUUGGGCACUUCUAGAAUUUCCUGUGAAUUAAAUGGUGAAAACCGUAUUUAAUCUAUUUAUCUAAUAAAAGAAAAACCUAAGGUUUAUUCACAAAACCAUGGUUAAAACUUUUCUUACCCAACCUUCUUCUACCCACUAUCACUUCCACCUAGGGCCCACCCGGCCUCCUACUUCCUCCCUCUCUUCUUCACUAACGAGUGGGGCCCACGGCCGGCACUUUCCUCAGGCCGAAAAGUGGCCCGUCGGUUCUUAAUCUGUGGCGCAUGGGCCUCUUUGCGGCAGGCUUGCUUGGGCCGGCUUCCCUUUUCUCCUCUCUUUCUCAACCGCGAUCGGCCCACCUUCUCUUUUCUUUUUCCAACGACCGGCCUGCUAAUCCGGCCCAUGGCCUAUCUUUCAUUCGCCGGCCCCCUUUUUCUUUUCUACUCCACCUGGGCCUCUCCUACCGCAACUCGGCAUCCCGGCCCAAGCAACACUGACCGGCCUGCUUCCCCCCCCCCCCCUUUCUCCUUACAACCUCCCUGGCGCAUGGCUUCUUCCUCCCUGCGCCAAAACAGGGGCACCAACCGCAGGGGGCGGGGGCUCGCCGGCGGCGCCUCCCCGGCGGUGUGGCCGGGCUGGGGGCAUCCCCAAGCCGAGGCUUCCCCACAGGCGGUGGCGGCCCUCCUGGAGGUGGCCUGUGUCGGGCUCCUCACGAGCGGCGGCACCAUGACCGGCGGCCGGCCGGCGCAAGGCCCGAUGGCGGCACAAAAAAGGUCUCCGGCGCGACCUACGGCAUCUACACAACCUAGAUACUCUACGAGGAUCGACGAUUGAAAGGAAAAGGGCCGGCACGAAGAGCUCACCGAGAGGACGGUGGUGGUGGCAGGCGGACCGGUACGGCGGUGAUUCGGAGCUUCGACGGCGAGGAACUACUGAACGGAGCAGCGUGGGGCGUUGAGGAGGAGCUGACGGAACCUUGGGUGGGUGGAAUUGCAAAGAGGGGCGGCGGCGUGGGUGAAUUUGGCCGGCGGCGGUACUGAUUGCUCAAGCUCGGCUCGCACGGCAGUAAAACCCAGGGCGGCGGUUAACUGGAUGAGGGCGAGGUGAUAGCGACGCAAUAUUACCGUGCAUGACAUCCAGCUUAGCUCAUGGUAGGCGGCGUGGCGCGAACGUGGCCGUCGCGCUGGCCGGCAUGCGCGAGAGCCGGCGGCGGCACGGCUCUUCCUGUCGCCUCUGUUCCUGCUGUUUUUCUUUCCUUUAUCUCUUCUCAAUCUACAUAUUCAGGCCUCAAAAUUGGCAAAUCCGAACCCAAUCUCUCGAACAUUCCUUAAGCAAUCUUGUAGAUUAAUCCGAGCACUUCAAUUGAUAGAUGGGCCUCUACCCGAGAUGAGCACCCUAACUCCUAGAUUUUGAAGCUCGAAGUUCGGCCAGGACCUCCUGUAACUGAACUUUGACGAUUCAGUUUCGACAGUCUUCACAUGUGGUCAUUUACCCUUCUUUGGCACCAAUUUCAGUAGCCCAAAUGUAUUCUAUAUAGGCCAACCACUCACCACUUGUGUUCUACAACUAAUAAGGAUUCCAUUUUGCACCAAAAACCAUAUAACGUCUACACCAAAUUUUUCUGAAAUUGGCUCCAAACAUUGCUAACCAAGGCUGUUUUCCAGACUUAGAAUUAUUUCGGCAAGGAGUUCGAAAUCUGCUCAUUUGCUGACUAUUGGCUCCAAUUUGAAUUCAAAUCUUCCACAUUCUCUGAACGACAACAUUUCAUUUACCUUCUUCAUAGUCCAUAUUUCACUAAUGUCCAAAAACAUCUGCUCACUUUUAAGGAAAUUUCUCCAGAAAUUGGUUCUAAAGUCAUGUACUCAAUACCAUUUUCAGACUUAACCAAAUUCCAACAAAGCCGCCUAUUGUGACAAAGUGCCAACUUUAGGCCUCCAUUUGAAAUGGUUCCCUCUGCUAUUCCUGAUCAACAACACCCAAUUUUUGGAGUCCAAAGUUCAUACUUCAACAUGGUAUAGUUGUCCUGAUUUACUUAUUUGAGAAAUUUAUCAGAAUUCAGUUUCCAAAAUGGACUCUGAGGCUGUUUUUCUGAUUUCUUGUUUUCGGACGGUGAACAGUAAAUGUAGUUUUUCAUUUCCUUCUCUGAUUUCUUUUGAGUGUUUAGGAUCAAAUAUUAUUCCAAAUUUUUGACCCUUAAGUUAUAAUCAUCUUUACACUUCUAUUCUAUAUUUUUGCCGAAUUUUUCUGAAUUUCAAAUUCAAAAUUCAAAUUUCGGCCAAAUUUGACCCGAAUUUGAUUUUCGGUCAAUUUCUUUUUCUUUUCUUCUCGAAUUGCUUUCAAUCCUUCAAAGUCACUUUGAUGACUAAAAUGGCGGGUGUUACAGCUGGCCAACGAUUGAGAGCUUUGAUAAGCAUCGAAGAAAACAAGAAGAAAGUGGCCAGGUGGUAUGAUAAGAAGGUCAAAGUCAAACAAUUCUCUCCGGGGGACCUGGUAUGGAAGUUAGUGUUGCCGAUCGGGUCGAAAGAUCCUAAAUUCGGUAAGUGGUCCCCUACGUGGGAAGGGCCGUAUAAAAUCGGCAGAUGUGCUCCAGGAAACGCUUAUAUUCUGGAAACAAUCGAAGGAGAAGAGUUUACUAGGGCUCUGAACGGAAGAUACUUGAAAAGGUACUACCCUAGUAUAUGGGUCGGAGCAUAAGGAUCAACCAUGAUGAACAACACACAACCGAUACAAAAAGAAUCGUCUAGAGAAAAAACGUAAUCGUCCAAAUCGGCCGAUAUAUUUUAUUCGGUACGGACGGUGGGUUACACGGCCAACACGGUACAAGUCGCCCUUAGAACAAAAAAUAAUUAAUCACGCUUUUUCUUAAGCUCUCUCUCAGCCCGACCUAGUUCUAUCAGAAGAUGGAUGUACUGUUCUUCUAUCUCUUUCAUCGCAGCCUCCGCUUCAACUUGACGGGGGAGAGGGUGACUCCGGUCCAUUGCUGGGCGUGAUGUUUCUGCUGCUGCAUCUUCAAGGACGAUUUGAUGAGGAAGCAGAUGACUUCUGUCGGCUUGAGGUCGCCGGUGGUCGUUGCCGUCCAGAAAGUCCCAGAUCCGUCGGACGUCAGCAGGGACGUGCUCUUGGAGUUCGUCGCGAUGAGCCCUGAUUAAGUCCUUGUCUUCUUGCGACAACGGUUCGUCGGAGUGCACGAGUCCGAUGGCUCGUUCGAGUUCAGGGCUAAGGCGCCGCGGCUGCGGAAAACAACAAUAUAUAUAUAGCCGCCGAAAAGGUGAUUCCCUUGAGAAGAGUUAAACUAAGAAAGAGAAUGAAGGCAAAUCUUUUACCUGAUUAACAGAGGAAGAGGUAGAGGAUGAAGAAGACAUGACUGAAAAGCGCACCGACGAAAACAAGUCGGGGAAGAUGAAGCCGAGCUAGACAGGUACUCUCGGAACGGGGACCUAGGCCGGCAUUUAUAAGAAAGGAAGGCGUGGAUGUUUGGUAAGACGCGUCCUAUCGGAAGUGAAAAAGGUAAUAAAUAAGGGGGCGCCGCGAAGGACGGUCAAAGGGGUUAUUAAUGUUCGUACAAGAAUUGCCAGUACUUUUACAGGUCACCCAGAAGGGCGUUGAUAGCUGCGAUCGCUCGGCGCCGGAUCUGAUCGGCAGAGUCCAGGACCCGUUGGUCAUCCUCUGCCAAUCCGAGGACUUCUGACAUAUGGCGGUGGAGUUUGAGGGCUUCGUGAGCCAGGUGCUGCCUCUCCCGUUUCAGAUCGGCGAUGACGGAAGGAAGUUCCUGAAGCCUCUUCUCUUCGGCGUCUAUUGCUUUGGUCACCUGCUCCAUCUCCUUGGCAAGCUAUGCUCUUCGGCGCUUGAGGCGAUCUAUCGUGCUGACGAUCCCCGGGCGAGAGUCUUCCAGAAAUUGAAUCCGUUGAUGCACCUGUUGAGCUUGACGCUUGUACGUGUCUUCUUCUUCACGAGUCUUGGUCAACUUGGCGCGAUCGGCCAUGUGGCGCAGGGCCCUAAAGACCGGAAUCCUCAUUGACUCGAUAUAUGUGGCCGGCGCCAAGGCCUCUUCCGCUUCUUCUGGUACUCGCCCACUGACGUCACCAAAAAGUUGCCGAAUCGGCGAGGCAUCUUCUACCAAUCGGCCGAUGUCCUCUUGAAGAAGGGAUCGGAUGCUUGCAAGUUUGGCACGAACAUCAUCGGGGACGGAGCUUAAAGUAACCUGACGAGAGGCGACUUCCUCGUCAUCGGAGAGUGCGACCGCAAACGAGAAAAGACUGUUGUUGGGGGUGUCCUGUUCCUGGAAAAUAGUAAGUCAAGAAGAAAAACAAAUCAGCCGAUGGUAAUAGCAAAUCGGCAGAGUAAGGGUGAGAAGUCUCUUACCUCCUUGAAACGGAUUUCUUCGAACUGCGUUUGAGAGGCCGUUAUCCUUGAUUCAGGGGCUGGUGCCAUUGGUUCGUCAGAAGAAGAAGACUCCACAAUGAUUGGUGCUUUGCUCGGGCCAGCUUCCCGAAAGAUGACCAUUGGUUGAUUAGGUGGGGCGCUUAGCGUACCGGUGACCUGUGUCAAAAGAUUGAAUAAGAACAUCAUCCAAAUACUAGGAGAAUCGGUUGAAGAGUAGUAUACCUCGGCAGAUGGGAGCGUGGGCGUGUCGAUGGCCGAUUGGGUUGCUGCCAAUUGUUGUGGGUCCACAGAAGUAAUUUGUGCAGUCUAAAAUAAGAUGAGUCAGUAUAGAGAUGGCAAUCGGUAGGAUCGGACAACAAGUUUACCUGCAUGGCCUCCACCAAUAAUGAUGCAGCGGCCGCCCCAGCUUGCGUGAUGACUUGAGUAUCUAUUUCUCCAGCGGGUGGAAGGGGCAAUGCGGCCGAAGUUUCUGCCGAUGUGAUCAUAGGAGGGUCAGCCGAUUCUAUACGAGCUCGUACUCGGUGACUGGUCUUCUUGAUAACCUUCUUCUGCGCCUGCUUCGAUCGGCCGGCGAUCACAUCCAUGGAAGGGGCAUUGUAGCCGAUAAGGGGGAAGAUGGUGUAUGGAUGAUGGUCCUCUAUCGGCCGGCCACUCCGGCUGCGUGUCGGGGGAACGCGGUUUUCAGACUGAAACAACAGCGAGAUGUUAGUGUACGCAUUUAACCACAUUAAUGAAGGAAUGAAAAUCGGCUAGGGAAAAAUACCUCGGCAUUCGGUCGAUGUUGGCUGGAUCCAGGAGAUUGCAGUAUGUCGAUGCGGAGGUGCAGAGCAGGUACUGCUUCCAUUCGGCCCACCACAAUUUGAAUGGUUGGAUAGCAAAGGGGGCUACUAUCUAGUCAUUCAGGUCUAUGGUACUGGAGUCUGGGAUCCGAUCUCGCAGCCGACUAUAGUCAAGGCCCUUGGUGAACUCAUCUCUGAAUUUUGCUCGACCGACGAAGUAUGCCUGAAUCGGCAGUUGACCCAUGCCGAAUUGCCGUGCUGCAACGGAGGGGUUGUAGAACUCAUACGUAGGAGCAUCCUUUCCCGAGAAGAAGUUGGCUGGUAAGAUUCCCAGUUUAAUUAGUUCAUCUGUGAGAUCUUCGUCGAAUCGGCCGGUAGUUGAGUCGAAGCAAGAAGGGAGUUCAAAGAUUGGGUCAUCUCUCCGAUAAGGGAACCAGACGGUUGCAUCUUCAUUAAAGCCGUUAUAAAAACACUGGAAGUAUUCGGCCACCUUGGUAGCAAAGUACGAGCAACCGGAGAAGGCCGAUGCCGCUUCGCCGAAAGACGUACACCGGCGUCGGACGGUGGGAUUCUCUGCCGAUUCGACGCUGGGGAAUGUCAUGUGUUCCACUCGCUGCUGAGAAAUCUUGCUCAUGUACAGGUUCAGCCAUAGGUUAAUGAACCACCAGGGUCCACCUGGGUUUCCAAUCGGCUCCCCUUGGGAUAGCUUGAUGCCGAUUUGGUGAAGCAUGUGGUAGGCUGCUCCCAAUAAGUGCUUUCCAAGAGGAACAGAAGUCCCUAUCGAUAAUGCUUCGGCCAGAGCUUGGGUAUUGGUAGAUGGACCAGCUGCUCUCCCACAGAAGAAGUGCUUCUCUAGCCACAUCAUCAGGAAGGCCGUGUGCUCUCUGUUCUCGACAGAUCCGGCCCUUUUGUUGCAUCUGAUGAAACCUUUCCACCCACCGAUUCCCCUUGUGUCCAGCCGAUGGGAUGUUGUGGCUAUAAGGCAGAAAGGGGUGUCCGGGGAAGAAAUGUCCAGGCCGGUCAGUAAGACUACAUCGGCCAGUGUGGGGGUUAUGGGUCCGUGCUCAAACAGGAAUGCAUUGAGAGCGUCGGACUAGAAGUAAGAAGCUGUCAUCACUAAUGGCUCAUUCCGUUCCAUUUGGGACAGGGAUAGAUCGAUGCAUUGGCCGAUUUUGAGCUCGUCCCAUUGGACUUUCUUAGAAGCGGCUAUCCGCUGGUACCAUUCUCUCCAGCCGGGAGUUUCAUUCGGCCAAGACCUAAAGGUACCCAACCAGUGAUCUAGGUCCAUAGUUGAUUCUUUGAAGGGGAUCCUAUGGGUUUCCAAAUGGAUUAAGUCGGUUGGAUCUAGGUUUCCCAUGAGUCCAAGGCAGAUAAGGCUGGGGUUUUCUGUGAGACGAAUGGUGAUGCGAUGCCUAACCGCCUAAAAAGGAAAAGGGGGUGCGAGGGUAAGAAAUAGAUCUAAAGUAAAUGCAUUACUGAUAAGGGAAAGUUUCGGUAAUGACCUCCGGGAUGAAGCUCCUCGUAAUCGGCGGAAUCACCGGUGCAGCUGCAGACGAUGAAGCUACCAAUGGGAUCUCGGAUGAAGCUUCAACUUUUGCCGAUGGAGCUCCUUCUUACGUCGAUGGAGCCGCCGCUGUUGCUACUAGAACCUCCGCCGAAGGCACCAUUUCUGGAGCUUCCCGUGUUGGUGAGGUGCCUAAAGGUGCCACCAUUGGAGAAGUAGGAGGGAAGUGAAAGGAAGGAGGCGCUGGAGAAUUGGAGGAUUAAGGAAAGUGUUGGAGGGAGAAGAAACCCUGUGCGCUGAGGAAGAAGGACGUGAGCUCGUAAGGGAAGUACGGGAUGUGCUGAUAUUUAAAGGAGGUCUGAGAAGGGGUAAAAGUGGAAUUUUUACCGCGCCGGCGUUUCGAGUUUUUCGGGAGUAGUGGUUGUCGUGGGCGCCCAUUUCAAAAAGAUUGCAAUCAUCAGGUUGGAGACCGCGAAACGGAAGGAUAUUUUCAUUGCGUCUGUUUCGGACGGGAAGUUGAAAAGAAUUUCGAAGUAAAAACUAUGUUUUACUCCGAAACUAGGGGGCAUGUGUUGACGCUAGAUUUCGACACGAGUAAAAUCGACGUUAGGAGAGGAAGAGAAAUUAGAAGAUGCGGCGAGAUACAAGGGCGACGAUUGGAAAUUGGCCGAUUGGUGCUACAGUCAAGGAUCGGUUGAUUGAUGCUACAGUCGAGGAUCGGCCGAUUGAUCCUUGGAGUUCCGCCUCGCCCGACCCCAGAGGUUUGAGAUCGGACGCGCCCGACCCUCCAAAGGAGGAUCUCCGCCUCACCCGACCCCUGAGGUUUGGAAUCGGACGCGCCCGACCCUCCAAAGGAGGAUCUCCGCCUCGCUCGACCUUAGUUUCCAGGGUCGGAGUAAGUCUGAGCCCUCGACAUGAGGGUCCUAAUCGGUUACCCCUUGCCGAUGAGGUGAUCGGCCGAUUAGGAGGUUGGAAUAGUUGGGCCGGUGUGGGCUUAAAAAGGAUUAUGAAGAUGAAGAGAGAAUCAGCCCAUGAAGCGCGUGAUAAUCGACCUAGUACGAAUCGUACUUGUAAAUAUUUGUUUUCUGUUUAAAUUUAGGGAUAGAGUUCUAGUCGGAUAAGAAGUCGUUUGUACGGGGCUAUAAAUAGCCACCCUUGUAGAUCUGUAAUCAUCAACUCAAUACAACAGACUACUAUUUCCUUGUACUUACUUUCAAGCAGGCAAUUUCGCCAACACUUUUCUUCUUUUCACGAGUUCGUACGGGUUGGCGGGGCUGCAUCAACUUGACCUCCGGCCGAUCUUGUAAGUUCCGCUUAUCGAGUAAAUUCUAAGCUUUAACUUCGGGCUUAUCGCUGUCGUUUCGUUUAGAUUUAUUCAUCAUUUAUUGAUAUUUACUAGAAUUCUAGGUGUUACCUGUUGUUCUAGUUUUAUCACCAGUUAUCCAGCUAGAAAUCGGUAAUUUCGGCUUUUCUUGUACUUCGUUGUUUAAUCUAUUUAUUUCAUGCAUAGCCGAUUAGAUCUGUUCCUAGUGUUGCUACCGUAGCGCUGUUUAGAUUACUCUAGCAGUUUUCUUUAUUAACGUUGCUCGGUAAUCGGCCGCAUCAUAGCCGAUUUCUUUAUUACGACAAAUCGGCCGAUCCGCUGAUAAGCUUUCUCGAGAUCGGAACUUUAUCCGAUCGCAACCUCUGGGAACUGACACGUUUUCUUUCCUUGCCAAUCAACAGAUCAGAUUGGCUGGCACGCCGCGCGAACCGUACUAGGGCGAUCACCCAAACAGGAGCGAAGCAGAUUCUCCCGGGUCGUGUGUCCGACGCUGGGAAUUUGAUCAGCCGAUUUCUAGCGCCAACAGUAAUGUACUUCGACGGGUCCCUCAAACUGGAAGGGGCCGGUGCAGGCGUAUUACUCAUCUUCCCAAAGAGAGACCAGCUCAAAUAUGUACUGCAAAUUUUCUAGGAGGCAUCUAACAAUGAAGCCGAGUACGAAGCACUGCUACACGGCCUUCGCCUUGCAAUCUCCCUCGGCAUCAAAAGACUAUUGGUGUACGGCGACUCACUAGUCGUUAUAAACCAAGUCAAUGACGAAUGGGAUCGAAACAAGGACAAUAUGGACGCUUACUGCAAAGAAGUCUGCAAACUGGAAUACAAGUUCUCAGGCUUGGAGUUUCAUCAGAUCGUCCACGACAACAACGUAGCCGCCGACGUCUUAUCAAAAAUGGGCUCAACUCGUGUAGAGGUUCCAGCAGGAAUUUUCGUACACGAACUGCACAAGCCGUCCAUACCUGAACAAGUUACACCGCCAGUGGUCUAGACUACUGACGUCACUCGAGAAGUCAUGAUGAUAGAGGUCAACUGGCGCACACCCCUCAUUGACUACAUCAAAGAUCACAAACUACCAUCUGACAAAAAUCAGGCUGAACAAAUCUCCCAUCAAGUAAAAAAUUACGUUCUAGUCGGGGACAAACUCUACAGGAAAAGUGCAUCAUCCGGGGUACUCAUGAAGUGUGUUACCCGUGAAGACAGCCAAGAAAUCUUAGAAGAAAUCCACAAGGGAAUUUGUGGGAACCACGCCUCUUCAUGGACAAUAGUUGGCAAGGCUUUCAGAGCAGGCUUCUACUGGCCAAUGGCUCUGGCCGAUGCUAAACAACUAGUCCAAAAGUGCAAAGGUUGCCAAUUCUUUACCAAACAUCAACAUGUACCGGCCUACAAGUUAGUCACUAUACCUCCAACAUGGCCGUUCGCCUGCUGGGGGCUCGACAUGAUAGGGCCAUUACCAACUGCGCUAGGAGGAUUCAACCGAGUACUCGUGGCAAUCGACAAAUUCACCAAGUGGAUCGAGGUCAAACCAGUCACUUGGCCCAGGGCAGACCGAGUCCUCGACUUCUUGGAUGACAUUGUACACCGAUAUGGUUUUCCCAACAUAACAGACCUAGGGUCAAACUUCAACAAUCACGACUUCUGGGAAUACUGCAAGAAUAUCUGAAUCGACGUUCGCUACGUCUCGGUCGCUCACCCGCGGGCCAAUGGACAAGUCAAGUGUGCCAAUGGCAUGAUACUCGACGCCCUCAAGAAAAGACUACAUGAUGUCGGCAACACCAAAGGCGCCAAAUGGCAGAGAGAGUUACCCAAUGCUCUAUGGGGACUACGUACCCAACCAUGCAAGACUACUGGGUUCUCACCCUAUUUUCUUGUGUAUGGCUCAGAAGCCAUACUACAUGCUGACAUCAUGUGGCAAUCACCCUCUAUCGAACAAUACGACGACGAGCUAGCAGAAGAAACAAGGCGAACAGAUAUAGACAGUCUAGAAGAAGCAAGAUGCGCAACACUAGUGCAAUAUGACAGAUACCUUAACGGUUUAAGGCGUUACCACGACUGUAAUGUCAAGGAACGAUCUUUCAACUUGGGCGAUAUGGUCCUCAAGCAAAUCCAAGACACAACAGGGUUGCCCAAACUCAAUUCACCAUGGGAAGGUCCUUACAUCAUAUCAAAAGUUACGGGACCCGGAUCUUCCAGACUGCAAGAGCUCUCAGGAGAACAAGUACCAAACUCUUGGAAUAUAGAACACCUUUGUCGCUACUACCCAUAGCAGUACCCGAGUAAUCAUUUCAAGGCAAAAACUCAUGUUGAUUACUUGAGCUAAUAGCUCGACUACCGACUUCAAGAUACACUACUCUUGACUACCAUCUCAACAGGCAUCAUUGCCCUGAUACAAAGUUUUAGUGGUAAAGUAACUCUUUACUCAAGACUGAAGAUACAUUAGCAAGUUACAUACGUGUAAUAGUACUCGAAAUACAAAAAGACUACAAGCAACUACCUACUUGUGGGCUGCAUUUAAGCCUCAGGCUUUUACAAUAUCACAACGCCACUCAGGUCUGUCGACUACAAUGGGAAGGGCCUACACGCAAGGAAGCUGCGCAAAACGCAGCCAUAUCUAGGUCCUCUACCCAAGGCAAUGCCAGGAACUCCUGCAUCACCACUGCCUUGACAGCGGCAACGAUGAAUCCCGCGCGUCGCGCCUAGAGGGAACCAAGGCUGCUCUUUUGCUAGCCUUGCCGAGCCAACCCACCCUACGGCCACACCUCCACCUCUAAGAGAGCGGGGUAAAGACCGCGACACUCAUCACCCAUCACCCGCGAGUUCUAGCGCGUACUCCACUGGAUCACGAGCUGCAAGAUGAGGCACGCGAUGAAACCUCCUACGAUGAUUCUUCUAGCAUCGCGGCUAUCCCUACGAGCGCAGGAGUCUAUGGAGGGAAGGUGGUCUCAAUCUACGAGAAAUCUUCUAGCACCGGUGCAUUCUUUGACGGCUCUCUACACUCAAACAACAACAACCGAAGGCAAUCCAUGGCUACUCAGAAACUUGAUUCGGGUCGACCUCUAGGGGAUCUAUUUAUAGUCAAGCGCUACAACUACCACCCACCCAGGAGUUACUAUGUGCCCGUGAGUCUGACGAUCUCUGACUCUGCCCAUGUGAAAGCAUUCACGCUACAAGGGACAAAAAAGUACAGUACACCCGUGCACCCUCAAAAAGCAGAGUACUCGAUAGCAUCGCGACUACUCGAAACUCAACUACCCUAGCCAAGCAUGGUCUGCGCUCAAAUCAUUGUCUCAGGGGCUUGGAAGGGUUCGACCCUCUGCUCAGGGAUCGGGCGAUACGAAGCUCUGCCCAGGGGUUGGGCGCACCCGACCCUGGGACUCAAGGUCGAGCGAGGCGGAGAUUUUCCCUCAAGGGGUCAGGUUUAGCCGACCCCGGGACCUUGGGACGGGCGAGAUGAAGUAAACUACUCCUCAAUCACAUCAAGGCAACUACUUCAAGUAAAGAAAGAACCAGCAUUCCUUUAUCAAGGUAUCAUCCAAAGUACUCGAAAAUAACUAUAAUAGUACAUAAAGUUCAAGGCUCCUCCGGAGAGACAAACUUAGACAUCUUUGACUCAAUGGGCUCCGCCUCCUCGAGGUAAUGUGCAUAUGCUUCUUCUGUGCAGUUGCGAGCCACGCCGUCACUAGCUGCCGCCAAGUCCGCCCUCGGGUAGUAUGACUUCACAACAGCAAGGACCUGUUUGCAAACAGCUUUGCAGAGACCUGCAACUUUACCCAGGGCAGCCUUCAAUCGCUCGACUAGCGAUUGAGGUCCUGCGCCCUCUUCCACGCGGGCUAUGGCGUUCACCAAAUCUUGAGCUACCUCAGUUAACUCUUGGAGUUCGCCUCGGAGUCUUCCCAUGGUCUGGGUAUGAUCUCUGCAUGCCACCAUGGCCAUAGCAAGCAUCACUCCAUUUUGGAUCUUCCUAUCUUGCUGAUGCUCGCAAGCAGCCUGUGCUUCUGCCAGCGCGGCUCGAAGACGUUUGGCUUCAUCUCCCACUCGAUCGUGUGCAUUUCUCCAGUCGAGGACUUGGCUCCUCGCAGCGGCCUCUUGCCUUUUGAGCUCUGCAAAAUAGCCAAGUUCAAACACAGCCGACUACAAUUGGACAUACUCGGAAUAUGCAAAGUACUCACCUUGAUACUUUUUGUUCAAAGACUUGUGGCGGCUCUCCAGUUUUUGUUGCAGGACUUCAUGAUCUGAUCGUUCCAUAGCAAAAGACUUCACUGCAACCUCGUGAACCCUCAAAGCUUCUGUAAGUCGGGCACAUUCCUGCUCCAGUUGAUGACUUUGUUCCUGAAGGGUCCGAGUGUGCAAAGCAAUGUGAUCAGUUAAAAGCCUUACAACUACUUGAUGUGACAAAGCAAAAGAAAUUCACCUGGAAGCUACGAAACACAUCAAUAGCUCUCUGGAACUCUGCCUCAGAUGGAAGGAUGAGUAUUGGACUUUGGGUACUCUUCGCAAGCUGAGGAGUUGCACGCAAAGCAACGCCUAAAAAGAACAAACGAGAUCAUCAUCAGUCACCUGACUACUAUGACUACAAUACCAAGCCUACUGGUAUAUACCUGGAGCAAUUGAUUCUUUGGAUUUUUCUACUUCCACUACAGCAAAACUCCACCGUGGAUGUCGACAAAGGAGCAUUACCAGAACCCGAAGCAGUGGAGGGAGCCUCCACCGAACGAAUCACUUCUUGAAGCAUAGACAUGGUAGCUCCAAGGCGACCAGUGUCAACUUCGGGUAUUUCAUCAACAAUCAAAUCUUCUAAGGGAGCAGAUAAAGUAGUCAGGGGAUCCGACUCUACCCCUGUCUCUACAGGGAUAGUUUCCUCCGCAUCCCUGCAUCAAAACACAUCAUUAUACGCCAUUCAAGAAAACUUAAAGACAUACACCAGGGACAAACAAGCUCACCGAGUUGAGCGUGGUGGAAAUCGUACACGUUUCUUCUCGGCAAUAGGUGGUCGAGUACUCGGCACCGCAGGAACAGCUGCUGGCGCUGUCUUCUCACCAAGACUUGGGAAACAGAAGUCAAGACUACAAUACAACUCAGACAAACGAAACUAGUCGGGACAGAAAGCUUACCACUGGCGAUUACACUGGACAACAAGGAACCAGUAGCGACUACUGGCAACACCUCCUUCUCAACACCCGCUACUCCGGCGGGCAACCCCAGGACUGCCUGGUCAGUAACUGGCAGUGUGGUAGCCGACGAAGCUUAUGCGGUCAGCUCGGGAGCUACUCCAGCAUCCGUGACGGCACUCUCUCUGGUACCUCAUCAACAGAUGCAAUACCGACGCCCGGGUCGGUCACGACUACUUCUCCAGAAGCAGCCUCGUCAUCACCAAGUGCCGUAUCAACAGCCUUUUGAACAAGACAAAGUAGUCACAAAAGAUUGCAAGUUAAAAUUCAUCAGCUACAAGUGAGUACACGACUACAUACCUUGGCACCCCGAGACUUCUCAGGAGUUGAAGCAGACUUAGCCGCAAACAUUUUGCGGACUACUCUGCGUUUCUUCACAGGAGCGGAGGGCUCGUCCUCUAACUCCUCAACAACAGUUUCCUCUUCUUCUUCCAACUGCGCCAAGUAGCCGGCAAGAACUCGAGACUAAAAAAAACAAGUCGAUAUUAACAACAAAUAUCACACAAGUCAAGAAGUACAAGUCAAGCGCCAGAACAUACCACUUCUGGCUCAUACCAGGCAUCAUACUGCCGAAGAGCUGCAGGGAUCACUGGUACUCCCUAGUAGUUCCUGAAGAACUUGGCCUGCAGUGCCUCUACAUCAUCAUCGGAGAUAUCCUCAUCGGACAUACGCGACGGAUCAUUAAGACCUGUGUACUCACUCCCUGAGUGAGCACGUUUCUGAAGCGGCUGGACUCUUCUCUUCAGAAAACUGGCGGCCACAUUAAUCCCAGUAAGACCAAGUGCCUUCAACUCGGUAAUCUGCUGCAUCAAGUGGUCAAGCUCCGGGGUACCUUCGGGUUCGCUCACCCAGUUCUCUACAUGCUUCGGUGCGUGGCCAGUAACCACAUGCAACCGAGGAUCAUGGUUCCCAAUGUAGAACCACCUUUUCUACCACUCCCCAUGAGAGUCAGUCAAGUUGUACUCAAUAUAUGUGCCCAAGUUCCUGAGUUGGAACCCAGCGCCUCCGAAGACUUCUAUCCUAUGUGCACUUUGCUAAGGUUUACAGCGGAACAACUUCCUAAACAACUCAAGGCUUGGAGGAACUCCCAAGUAAACUUCGUAGAGGUGUACGAAAAUGGACAUGUGCAAUACACCAUUGGGGUUCAAAUGAACAAGUUGGAGCUUGUAGUACUCGAGGAUACCUCUGAAGAAGUUGGAGGUGGGAACUGCCAACCCUCUCUCCACGAAGUAUGCAAGCAUCACCGUCUCACCAGGGUGUUCUUCAAAUUGCCAGGCAUUCACAAAAGUUGGACGCCACUCGAGUACCUCCUUCGUCUGCAGAAUCUUGGCAUCGACUAGCGCUUGCACGGCUUCCUUCUUCAUCACUGAAUGUUGUCACGUUGCUCCAGGCGGCGGCGGCGCAGUCUGGUUCGUCGGCCCCACCUUCGGCGCCGGCAGCACCAGUUCCUUCCCUUUCUUGGACUUCACCUUGCCCGUCGCUGGAGCUUUGCCCUGGAUCUUCUCGGGUUUCUUGCCCAUCUUCUUGGUGCGUAUCCGCCGGUUUCAACCUCCGCAAAAUGCACUCACCCUCGGAUCUCUCUCAAGGAGUGGCAAUGGUGGCGGCAGCACUUGGCAAAUGCGACGACGCAAAUGUGGAGCAGAUGCACAGGGGAGGAAGAAAAACAGAUCUGAUUACAGUAGGGCAUAAACCUAACCGAAAGGGGGCCCUCCAGUUUUAUUUCCGCCACCUCCAGAUUCCAACCGUCAGUUAUGCAACGGACGGAUUUUAAGCAGAUUAAUUGCCUUAAACACCCAAUGGCUACUCUUUUCAACGGGUUGCUGACCACUUCAACGACAGAAAUCACCUAAGUGCUCGGGGGCUGCGGGUACAACAGUCAAAAGACAAGAUUGACCCUAAGCUUGACUCUCCGACUCAACCUAAGGCUCGGGGGCUACUCCAUAUGGAGUGCGAUUGACAUCGCACUACCAUAUAAAAACUCUCAGGACAAGAAGCUGCUCAAAGGAACAAAAAGAGUACCUUCCAGCCACGCGACAGUAUUCGAGUACUUCGGACACUUCAAACCUCUAUGACUCCUCACAUAGUGCCCACAGUACUCGAGACUGUGGUGCACGACUACAAAGUACUCGGGGGCUUGUCGGGCAUGCACCCGAGGCCCACGAGUAGACCUUGGAUGGCCCACUAAGGGACGUACUCGGAUGUAACCAGGACAAGGGAUAGUCGUAUCCCACUCGGAAUAGUCAAGUGUGUGUAUGGAAAACUACUCGGGCCAUACCGAGUAGAACUCUGUAAUAGUACUCGACUAGGACUCAGACUUGUAACCCUGCCCUCCCGUGUAUAUAAGGGCGGGCAGGGACCCCCCUCAAACAGAACAACUCUAGUUCAUCCAAGAUCAAUACAAACCAACACACAGGAUGUAGGGUAUUACACGAUCUAGCGGCCCGAACCUGUCUAAAUCGUGUUCCUUGUGUCACCAUUGAUUCCUUGAUUCUCGACGAUCCUUGCCGCAUAAAAGACCACCUAGGGUACCCCUUAGGUGGGUUGCUGGUCUAAAACACCGACAGUUAGGGUUACUAACUUCAACACAACAGCACCCGAUUAUGCUUAUUCCCUCCAUCCUAAAAAAUAAACCAUUCUAUUUUAAAUUUAACCAAGUUUAUAUAAAAAUAUUAAUAUUUAUGAUAUCAAAUAUGCAUUAGUAGAGUCAUCACAAAAUUUAUUUUCAUAAUAUAUCUAUUUAGUGUCAUGAAUAUUAAUAUUUUUCUAUAAAAUUGGUCAAACUUAAAAAAAAUUAUCUUAGUACAAAGUUAAAAUAACUUAUUUUUAGAUGGAGGGAGUAUAUCCACAAGUACAACCAAGAGGUAAAAUAAAGAUUUACCAGAUUAUGAGAAGCGAAAAGCUGAAAACUGAGCAAUAUGCAUUCCACUUGUACAAACCGAAUGUAACUAGGUGUUGAUCUACAUGCAUUUAGCAGAUCAUCAUGUUAUUGGAAAAACAUGGACUGAACCCAUAGAAAAGAAGAUGAUGACGUGAUGCUUGAUGAUAUGCUUAUGCUUGAUUAGGAGGCGAUACAUCUGUGAUGGCUAGUUUAGUUUUCAUCAUUGUUGGACGUCAUAGACCAUUAUGGCAACAAUCUACGACGGAUAAGUUGUUUUGGUCACGGAUGAAGAAUCCAACAAGGCGCUGAUGUGGACGUCCAGGUCGAUCCUACAUGGCCAUGAAUAAAUAUUCCCUUGUAAAUAGGAAAAGUGGGAGCCACCUGUCAGUCCUGUCGGCGAGGUUAAAAUGUGCAAAAAUAAACUGUUGCUAUCCGGGGAAUCGAACCUUGGACCUCUCAACUCCAUAGGAUGAAACUUACCACUGAGUUGCUGAUUUGUUUUCGAAUUUGGUCUAUUUGGUUUCGUAUUUGUACCAAAUUAUAUUCCAUUGAGAUUAAGGAGGCAUUUGACUUGUCCAGGCACCAGACUUAUCCAUGCCGGCCACCCCUAUUACCGCACAGCAGGCCGCCCCUGUCUGCACAGCAGAGUUGUCCACGGCGGCAGCCAUUCGAUUAGCGGCGUCCGCGGCGGGCUGGCGGCGUAGGAGGUCAUGGCAGUGGCGUACGCAUUGGCUGGUAGAGGCAUUGGCUGUGGCGUAGGCGGUUCUGGAGAUGCACAGCAGAGUUGUCUGCGCCGGCCAUUCGAUUUGCAGCGUCCACGGUGGCAUCAGAGUCCAUGGCAGCGUCAUAGGCUACGGCUAGUAGGAGGCAUUGGCUAGGUGCAUAGGAGGCGCUAGCAUCGUCGUAGGAGGUGUUGGCGAUGGCGUUAGAGGUGGAGGCGGCAUAGGGGGUGGCGAUGGCAGAGGUGUAGGGCUCGGCGAGGGGACACUAAGGGGACGCCGAUCUGUGGACUGCACACCUCCGUCAAGGCUUCCCCUCCACGGGCUCCAUUGCUAACCACCAGAGAUCUCAUCCAGCAAGCAGCUGCAGCCCUCACCCCACCUCAUUUCGAUUGGUAUGAAUUUUGAUAUGCAAUUUAAUUCAGUUUUGUAGUUUGUUAGUCGAUGUAGUGGUCAUAACGGAGCUGAGAUGCAUUUUCUGCAAUUUUUUAUCUAGAUGGAAAGACGUUGGGCGCAUGGUGUGCUGUUUACGCCUAAAUAUAUUUCCGGUGUCAAGUCUUUCAUGAAUUUCAUCAGAGAGAGGUAUAGUGAGGCUGAACAAAUUUUGUGCCCAUGUAGUCAGUGUAUGAACCAUCAAUACCUGCAGCAAAAUGACGUGAAGAGGCACCUACUGCUCAAUGGCAUGUCCAGUACAUAUACAAGGUGGAUAAACCAUGGAGAGGCCAGUGAUGUUCAUGUUUUGGAGGGACCAGUACAUCAGGAUGGAAAUGCUAAUUCUUUGGUAUCUAAGUACACUAAUGAUGGUGGACUUGAAGGGAUGUUAAAUGACCUCGUCAGCUGUAAACAUGUAAAUGAUGGUGGACAUGAAGAUGGAAACCCAUCCAAUGACACUGCAUCACAUUUCAAACAUUUGAUUGAAGAGGCUAAGCGUGAGCUAUAUUCUAGUUGCACUAAUUUUUCAAGGUUCACAUUUGUAAUCAAGUUGCUCCAUGUGAAGUCAUACUAUAGGAUCACUAACUCAGCAUUUUUUGCACUUUUGAAGAUCUUGUCUGAAGCUUUCCCACAGUUCAAUACUAUCCCAAAAUCAUAUGAUGAAGCAAAGAAAAUGCUCCGUGAAUUAGGACUUGGUUAUAUAUCAAUUCACGUUUGCCCAAACAUUUGUAUGCUAUUUAGAAAGACAUAUGCAUCAUUGGAUAAUUGUCCAGUUUGUGAUGCAUCAAGAUGGAAAGAUCCUGAGAAGAAGAAGGUUCUUUCAAAAGUAUUGCGGCAUUUUCCGUUGAUCCCUAGGCUACAAAGGUUGUUUGUUUCCAAGAAAUCAUCUGAGGAAGCACAGUGGCAUAAGUUGAAGAGGAAAUACAAUGAAAAGGACAUGACCCAUCCUGCAGAUGGAAAGGCAUGUGAAGAUUUUGACAAGUGCUAGCCUGAUUUUGCUGAAGAUGCACGAAACCUAAGACUUGGACUUGCCACAGAUGGUUUCAAUCCUUUUAGCAACAUGAGUUCAUCUUAUAGCAUGUGGCCUGUUUUUGUGAUUCCAUAUAACUUACCACCUUGGUUAUGCAUGCAAGAAUCUAAUUUCAUGAUGGCUUUGUUGAUUCCCAGUCCUCAUUCACCAAGGAAGGCCUUUGAUGUUUUCUUGCAGCCUCUUGUAGAAGAUUUACUUGAGCUAUGGCCUGGUGUGGAUACUCUUGAUGCUAUCACCGGGAAAGAUUUUAAGCUUCGUGCUACAGUGUUGUGGUGCAUUCAUGACUAUCCAGCAUUGAGUACUCUAUCAGGGCGUACCACAAGUGGUUACUUUGCUUGUCUCCAUUGUGACAAAAUUUCUCUGUCCUAUGCCAUAAGGAGCAAGCUAUGUUAUAUUGGGCACUGUCGUUUCCUUUCGAGAAGUCAUCGUUUGCACAAGGCUAGUGAUUUUGUCUCUCUCCAUGAUACUAGUGCAAAGCCAGGUACUUUCACAAGAGAAGAGCUGCUAGAAGAAUUAGAAAAGGUUAAAGAUGUUAGAGUUGGACAAAAAAAGGAAGCGUUCGGGGAAUCAUGUGCCAAUUUGGGGUAGAAGGGUUUGUUUGUGGGACUAAACAUAUUGGCCAUCUCUGAAGCUUAGACACAAUCUUGAUGUCAUGCACAUUGGAAAAAAAAUGUGUGUGAAAGACUCCUUGGUACCAUUCUCGACAUAAAAGGGAAGUCAAAAGACACAGUUAAUGCAAGGUUAGAUCUUGUUGUCUGAAAAUUAGAAAGGAGUUGCAAUUACAGUAGAGUGGAGAUUCAUAUUACAUGCCUAAAGCUCGAUAUACAUUGUAAGUCAUAGAAGAAUGAAUUUCUUAAUUUCUUGAAGGAGGCCAAGUUUCCAGACGGGUAUGCUUCAAAUAUACAGAGAUGCUUAACUGGUGAUGCAGUCAAGUGGCAAGGCCUGAAAACUCAUGACCGCCACAAUUUGUUGUAAAGGGUUAUGCCUGCUGGGCUGAGAGGGUUGUUGGACGAUGAUAUCUAUCAAACAAUUCCUAAGUUUGACAAAUUUUUCAAGGAAUUGUGCAGCCAAAGACUGAAUAAAGAUUUGUUGGCUCAAAUGAAGACAGAAUUACCUAUCACAUUGUGUAAGCUUGAGAAAAUCUUCCCCCCUGCUUUUUUUGAUGUAAUGGUUCACCUUGCUGUCCAUUUACCUGAUGAGGCCAUCCUUCGGGGACUUGUGCAAUUUGGUUGGAUGUACCCAAUUGAAUGGUGCUUGUAUACUUUGAAGAAGUCUGUUAGGAACAAGGCAUGUGCAGAAGGCUCAAUUGCAGAGGCAUAUGUGGCAGAUGAAGCCCUCACAUUUUGCUCUAGAUAUAUGGAAGAUGUAGAGACAAGGUUUAAUCAACUCCCAAGAAAUGUUGGAUUUUCAGAUCAAUCACCCUAUAUUGUUGAUGUUUUCGGGCAUGGUGUUAAUCUUAUUGGUGCAUGUGAUCUUUACUACUCUGAGGAAAUAGUUCAGUUGGUUUGGUAUGUUCUCCAUAAUUGUGAUCAGGUCGAGGAAUACGUAAAAUAUGUUCUGAAUUCUCUAUCUGUGUAUAUUUCAUUUGUUCUUUUUUUAUUUUCAGGCCACCAACUUACUGAAUUUUUUUGAGUUGUAGAAUGUUUCAAGAUGAUUUAACAGCAUCAGGGGUGGCUGCUGCGGAUCUUGAUAGAAGGACUCUACAUGGUUUUGUGCAUUGGUUCAGGAAUUAUCUUACUCUUUUAAUCUUAUACUAGUUUUCUGUCAUGAUGUGUUUUACUAUUAGGCGCUAAGAUAUUCUCUUUGUAGAUGUGGAAGUUGAAUGCAUCUGAGGAGGUAGAUGAUGAUUUAUUUGCCUUAGCCUGUGGCCCUGACAUGAGAGUAAGAUCAUACUCCACAUGUGUUGUCAAUGGUGUUAGGUACAACACCGUCGAGCGUGACAAAAAUAAGAAGACACAAAACUCUAGUUUGACCUAUACAGGCGCUUACAAAAAUGAGAUUAUUGAUUAUUAUGGUACAUUGAAAGAGAUUAUUGAGUUACAGUACACUAACAAGGAUGAUGAUACAAAACGAUCGAUUGUUGUUUUUAGAUGUGACUGGUACAAAUUGGAUGGUAAGCACACUGCAGUAAAGGAUGGUGGGUUCUUCAAAAGUAUCAAUAUUAGCAGCUUGUGGUACAAGAAGGAUUGCUUUAUUCUGACAACUCAAGCGACACAGGUUUUUUAUUUGCCGAAUAAGCACAGAAUGAAUUGGCGGGUUGUCCAAACGUUUAAGCAUCGUCAUUUGUACAAUGUGUCUAAAAUAGAUGGUGUUGUAUCCACUGCUGCACCCUAUCAAGAAUUGACAUGUGUUGUGGACAAUGGCAGAAGACAAGAGGUAUCUGAGAUUUUACCUGACAUACCUUUAAAACGAGAUGAUGAAGAUGGCCUUGUUGUUGAUGCUGCUGAGGUUGCAAUGCUUACUAAGGAAAAUCAAUCAAAUACUAAUAGUGGAGGUGAAGAGGGAGAUGUGGAAGAGGAUGACACACUGAUGGAGUACUGGAGUGAAGAAGAAGCUGCCCCUGUUGAGGUAGAUAGCGAUGACGAGUAGUGUCAUGUAAUAUUAUGUACUCUAAAGAAGCUGCCUUUAGGGAUCACUGGAGGUUGUAAUAUUAUGUACAGUUCAAUCAUAUAUAUAGAACCUUUAGGGAUCACUGGAGGUUGUUAAUUUGGCACUUACUCUAUAGUCAACACAAAGUCAAAUGUGGCAUUUCUAGCAAUACAUGCAGGAGCCAAUUGUAGAGUACCUUCAAGGAUUACUAGACACUACUAACCACAAAAAUAAAAAAAAACUCGACCCGUGGGGGCUAAGACCACAAAAAUAAAAAAAACUCAACCCGUGGGGGGUAAGAUAGCCCCCGGGCAUUUUGCUAAGAAGAAGACGACCUUCUCACGCAUAGGGAGGGGAAGCAUAUGAAAUGGAAGGGGAACUAGGGAAUCACUGUUGGUGGCACGGUCUAGUUCGUCCACCCAAACUUGGGUGGAGGCAGUUGUGGCUCCUUCCCUUUUCUAGAUUUCUUACUAGAACCCUUAGCGCCCCUAGAAGCAGAUGCUUUUCUUCCCAUCUUGAUUGUCACGAGCGUCUUCUUGCACAUACGCUCAGGGGCUCAUGAAGGGAGGUGGUGUCGGCACUCUCAAAUCGGAUUGCGGCGGCUCUGGGCAGUAGGGUUUUUUCAAGUGCAAAUAGUAGAUGGCAAUGGCAGAGUAAAUGGGGGUAACUUCCCUCAUCUAUUUAUAACAAAAGUAGAGGAAAUGGAGGAAAUGGCCCCGAUGCUUUCACCUCUGGCCAUUAAUUUCGCAUCUGGCCGUUAGUUUCUGAAGUCACCGCAAGAGAUAAGGUUACUGUUGGCGAUGGUCACGAUGACUGGUGGUUGACCCUUAUACCUCCUAAAAUUAGUCGGGUAAUAGCUCGGGGGCUGUGUGCCACAUGCCCGUCGGCUAAAAAGUUUUUUCGCUGCAGUUUAAGGUGAAGACAACGCAAAUGCAUAUUGACCCUCAGCCUGAUUCUUCGAUUCAACCUAAGGCUCGAGGGCUACUCCAUAUGGAGUGUGAUUUUCAUCGCACUUCCAUAUAUAAAUUCAAGGACAAAUAUUCAAUACAGCGUCAGAUGUGCUUGAGCACAUUCUAGCUGCAUGGUAGUACUUGAGUUACUUGAAGGCUCAACUUCGACGAAGUACUCAGAAAAGCACCAAAAACUAGUCGGGUGAAGCUUGUAAAGGUACUCGGGACUGCUGCAUUUGACUAAAACGUACUCAGGGGCUUGUCGUACAUGGAUCUAUGGGCCUCCCAUAAGGUUUGGAUAGAUCCAUACACAGGGAUGUACACCGAGACGUGUCAGACAUUGGGACUACAGUGCAGGAUGGUGUAGUCCAUGUGGAGGAUAGAAACUAGCUGAGGACUCAAAAACUACUCGUAGUAGUUAGAGUAGGACUCUAUAGUCGAAUCCGACUAGCACUCUUGUAAAGCAACCAACCUGUAACACUGCUCCUCCGAUAUAUAAGGACGGGUAGGGACCUCCUCCAAACAAGUUCAAUUGAAUAUGAGCAAACAACACACAGGACGUAGGGUAUUACGUGAUCUAGCGGUCCGAACCUGUCUAAAUCACGUGCCUACGUACACCAUCGAGUUCCUAAUUUCGGCAACACCCACCAACCAAAACUGGUACUCCUCUUGGUAGGUUACCAAGUUUAAACACCGACAUGCCGUCCCCUUAUCUUCUCCUAGCGUAGCCUUUCUCUUCUAAUUCCUAUCUUCUCUCCUUCUCCUCGAGCAAGCCUUUCUCUCUUCUAAUUCCAAUCUCCUCCGCACGCAGGCCUUUCUCCUGGAGAGCAAUGGCGUGCGAGUGGCGGCGCGGGCGGCAGGCAAGCGCCGGCCUCUUUUUUUUGGAAAUUUUUAGUUCCCGGUUGGUAAAACCAAACAGGACUAAAGAACACCCUUUCAUCUCGAAAAUUUAAUCCCGGAUGAAUUUUUCGAAGCUUUGACCGGGACUAAUGCCGCGUUUUCCACCUGUGCUUUUAUCACAUCUACUAUAUGCCUUUAGCCCUGAUAAGAUAAACCAUGUGCCAAUCAGAGUCUAAGUAUGUGAUAGGAUUUUCGAUCAACGCUUCUAGAAGGAUAGGGGAAGAAAAUGAAAGCUAGAAGUUCAAUGUCUUUUUCGAUUUGAUAGAUCCUACGUGGUUUUAAGGCCAGUCUCAGUGGAGGUUUCACGAGAGUUUCAUGACCAUUAAAUAACAGGUCACGUCAUCAAUUUUGCUGAUAUGGCAAGAUCAUUAUAAGGAGACAUGAGAGGGAGUUUCAUCAUAUGUGAGAGGAAUUUCAUCACCAUGAAAACUAGCGUGCAUAGUUACCAAGUUCUCAGUCUUGGUAACUAUACCAUGAAACUAUGCACUAAAGACUGAUCUAAGUAUAAUUGGCACCAAUUGGUAUGUUCUUCCAAAAAACAACUUUGAAUUCAAGAAAAAUAAUUAUCCCUACCUCUUAAAUAAUAUAAUCAUUUAGGUUUUAUGUUGUUCUAUCUAAACUCUUCGAAGUAAUUGUUAAUUAUAAAAAUCUUCCGGUUCAAAUAUUUGCUCCUUUGGCUGCACAAAAUUUGCUUCACAUAAAAAAUGCAGUAUUAUCUUUAAAUGAGUCCAGGUCUGUUUGGCUAGUAGAGUUUUUAUGACUCAAUUCAAAUUUGUAUCAUGUUGUAAGAAUUUCAAUCUAAUCCUCCUUUACUUAAAUAGACUGGGCAUAUUUCCCCAUUAAUAGCAGAAUUAGCCUAACUGAUACAAUAGGAACAGGGGAAGACGGGAAGCCUACUACCAUGCUGGAUGCAUCAGCUUCGCAGCCGUGGGUCACCACCACGCCAGACGCCGAGAACUCAGGCAGCCCCACCAACGCGUCACCGGCAACCACGGAAGCUUCGCGUAACUCUCCGGUUGGCCGCUCUAUUGGCUGCUCUAGUGGCUGGUACUGCCCAAAUAUACUAAUUUCCUAUCUUUCUCUCCAACACACUACCCAUUUUUGUUUCCAUUUGACUCUCUAUCUAAGUUGGCAAAAAUAUUUCUCUCCAUAUUGAGUUGUUCAUUCGAACAGACUAUCCAUUUCCAACUCUCCAAAUCUUGACAACUAAUUUCCUUUCAAAAAAUAUACACUGUCCAUCUACUCCAACAGCCUCUCCAUUUUGCACUUUCCAUUUUGGCAAUUAGUACACGUGGGAUCCACACUUUGGCGAGGUAAAUUGGCUUGUCAAGUUUGGCAAGUGUGAGGGAAAAUUUAGCAAGUCGAAUGGGAUGGAGAGCCGGAUAGUAACUUUAUGGGAUCACGAUUUUCUUAUUAACUCAUCAAAUUUUAACUUAGAGAGUCCUGUUGGAGUUGCUCUAGGAGCAAGCCCAAUAAGGGCACAUCAACAGUUGAAUCGCCAAGACACGUUAGCAAAUACAGAUGUGGCGGAGAGAGAAAUUAGGAGAGAGAACGAGCUUGUUGCAGCAAAGAGCGUCAAGCGCUAGCACAGCUCCCUAAGGCGUGGUUUGAUUUCUCCUGCUUAUUUUUAGCACUCGUCACAUCGAAUGUUUAGAUACUAAUUAGAAGUAUUAAAUAUAGACUAUUUACAAAACUCAUUACAUAAGUGGAGGCUAAACGGCGAGACGAAUCUAUUAAGCCUAAUUAGUCCAUGAUUUGACAAUAUGUUGCUACAGUAAAUAUUUACUAAUGAUGGAUUAAUUAGACUUAAUUAGGCUUAAUAGAUUCGUCUCGCCGUUUAGCCUCCACUUAUGUAAUGGGUUUUGUAAAUAGUCUAUGUUUAAUACUCCUAAUUAGUAUCUAAAUAUUUGAUGUGACACAUGCUAAAAAUAAGCAAAGGGAACCAAACGCCUCCUAAAACUAUGGGGCGCGCCACCACCACAUGCUCCCAUCCCACCACCACCACCUAUGGAUGGGUAAUGACGUUGAUAGCGACGAGGUGGGUUCCAUUCAAAUUUAAAAAUUAAUAUUGAAAUGUGCGAUGAGACAAGCUUAUUGAAUAGAUGAUUUGUAGGUGUUGGCGCAGAAUCUAGGCUUCAGGCUUCUGCGUUGAACAACACGAAGGACUUGGAAGAUCUGUUUAACUCCAAUACAGGCUCCAAAUCGGCUCGCAAAGAUACAAGGCAUGCUAGUCAAUUUGACCUGAAAAUUAACAAGGUAAAGGUUAAAUUCCUAAGCCGGUCAGUGAAACCUUUCAAACUCAUGGGUAGGUAUUCUUUGAAUAAACACCAAAAAUAGAUAUUCAAUGUAAUCAUGUUGUGUAAAUAAAUAAUAGCAAUAAUGGCAUAUGCCAUCGGCUAUAUGAGCCGACGGACUAAGAUAGAAUUAAUAUAAAACAACAGCCAUAAAGAGUAGUUCUUACUAACCAUAUGCAUGGCAAAAUAAACCGACAGAUCUAAUUAAUGCCAUGAGAAGUAGAUUGGAUCACCAAGACAAAACGGCUUCUGUUAAUCUAGAAGCCUAGAAUAUGACUAGUAAGAACCUCCUGCCUACCACUUACAAACUGAUUAAGUUAAUAGAUCUAAUUAAUGCCAUGAGAAGUCAAUUGGAUAACCAACGCAUGAUGACUGAGAGAGGGUAUUAACUUCAACCCAUUAAUUAAAUAGACUAAUUUGUGGUAACAAGGCCUCGGAUGCAUCACCAUCGGCUCAAUGACACCAUCGCGCUACCAGGAAAGAUGGAUAAGAUCUAGCCGGUGCAUCGGCUAUCCAUCGCAGCGUUAUGACGUUAAGGAUCCAUUGGGUAGCAAUACGAGGGGUAGGGGUAGAGAUCUAUCGGACCUAGCAUAUAUAAACAUGUAAAGCUUGCAAGAUUUAACCAGUCGAUACAAUCAGAUAACUGGUGAACGCUUAAAAGAGACUAAAGAAGCCGAUAAAGACAACCUGAUCAGAUCUAAGUUGUUCGAUAGGUGUGAGCACUUACACCGACUAGGGAAGCCCAUAAAAGACAACUUAAUUAGAUAUAAGCAAACACGAUAACUUGAGCAACGUCGAUAACAAAUAGAAUAUUGGACAAAGCCUAGAAAGUUCUACUUGUAAUCUAAGUUAACUCGAUAACUAGCCACACGACCAAAUGUCAGAAUAUUAGACUUUAACUUAGAAAGUUCUGAUAGGGAUCGUAAUGACAGGCUGAAGGUACUUAUAAGCUCGCCUGAGAUCAAAGCCGAUGCAGUCCUGCAUGCAAGAAGAAACUCGUUCGAUUCUACUUUACUCCUCCUAAGAUUUUGACGGCGUGCGUCGAAAGCUUGUAUUGAUUGAUCAUUGUUUGUUAUAAGGCUCUAAGGCUUAUAUUUAUAGCCAGGAGAGCUAAAGUCCUAGUUGAUUAUGGCACAAACUAUUAAAAUAAUUUUAAAAUCUACUAAAAAUAAAUCUCCACGCUUUUCCUUAUUUGAUGUAGUUGGUUCUGCAUCGGAUCGGGCUCCCGCAGAGUCUUCUAGAAGCUGACUGCCCGCAGUCAACCCUGGUCAAAGGUGGGCGUCAGAGAAUAUUCUUUCAGCUUCAUCGGCUGUCAAGACCUCAUCCUCAUCGGCUUUGUGUUUAUGGCUUGUCUAUCAGACAAAGCUUAUUGAGCUUGCUCUAACAUAGCUUGGUACUUGGUAGAGAUAGGAAAUCUGUUUAGUUAUUACAGUAAAGUUCAAACCACAGCCUCUGUAGAUAAACAACAUUACUCACGCCGUCCGCAAAUAAGAGAUUCCGAGGCUUAAAUUUUGUCUAUAUACUAGGAAACCAAUCAUCACGUGGCUGCUAAUCAAGCUUUCAAGCACGUUCACCGGCUGUGCUUAUAUUUGUUGUGGAAGGAGUAUAACAGGGUUAAAACAGUCCUUACAUUUGUUGUGGAUGGAGGAAGUACAUGUUACAACAAUUUAUAGUCCAAAUCAAGACCCAAAGGUUAAAAUCAAAUUUGAUAAGCUCGUAAACGCAUGUUUAACUGUUAUCGAGUCACAAAUGGUUGAUCUGAAAACACUUUCAACAACUGAGGGUUGAAGUACUACGCCCUUGGCUGAUACAUCAAUCUCAGUGUAGGUUAUAUUAUAUCGGCUGCCAAGGAUAUGCUGGAUAGUAGAUAUCUCAGAACAAUUAAACUAUUAUACUACAUAAAAACAAUCUCAAAACCCAUAAGACUAAAUAAAGCCACAAUUUCUUUCUGACAGCCACACCACCACCUUUGUUUCGCCAUCGUCUCCCUUGCCCUGUGGAGGGACCCUUCCUCUUACCAUAGUGAUUCAGAACCUCUCCUUCCUAGUAAAUCACAAUAGUAAUUCAGAAACUGCAUAUUUAUUAUUGAGACCUAAAAGGUGUGUGCCUGUUGAAAGUCUGCGUACCUUUGGGAAUCAAAUCAAUAUCUCUUGCAAUUUCCAACUUUUUCCUGGCAUAAUCCAAAUAGAACUUUCGUUUCAAAGGUGAAGCCUGAAGAUAAAAUUCAGCCUCCGCUUUAGCAAAAUAAAGCCAAUUUCCAGACAGCAUUAAAAGCCAUAAUCAACUAGUAAAAAUAUAUAGCUACAGUACAAUUGCUUGCCACGGAAAUCAAUUAACUUACUAUUUUUACAACAGCCUCUCUUAUCAACUGCCGAGCUUUAUCAUCUGCGGCCUGAAAAGACAGAAGUUCCAUCAGUGUAAAGAAUUUAUUUCCAGUAGCAGUAGGGCAAGGAUCCCAAGCAGACCAGCUUACCAUUUUGUCAAUGCCAGCCACAUGGGCAUCAUACUGGAAAAAGGAACAGGACAAAAUAAGCAUCUAGAUGAACUGCUAAUUGAAAAAAAAUAUACACCAAAGAAUUAGGGAAAUGCUAAUAAGAGGAGAAGGAACUUGCAUAAUCUUUUAUUGGGAAUCUGCCUGGAGUGUUUUCAAGCUCAUGUUUAAUAUAAGAACUCCACAAGGGAAACAUGUCUUUGCUAUGUAUUUCCAACAAGGCUUCUUUGAAACUCAUCUGAAAGAAAUUGAGGUCAAGAAAUAUGUCCCUUAGCAAGCAAGCAUAUGUAUAAGAAUGCAAAGCGAUACACCAACAGAAAUGGAGAGCAAUGUGGGUUCCUUAGUUGUGCAUACUGAGGUACUAACUUUUCCUUUAGCAACCCGCUUCCAAAUCUCAAAAU
rnacentral:lncRNA from 1 species